GUGUCCUCUUCUAGUCUUUUUCUUCUUCUUCUUCUAUAAACAAAAACCCAUAAAACACAACCACCAUACAACCCUUUGUUUGUUAAUUUACCAGUAAGGCAAAGCUUUACGUUGGCUAAUAAACACACCGAGCUGCCCAGGCUUCCCUCAUAGCAGUUGCAUCCUAAUCCUAGUCGUAACUAAUCUUGUCCGAUUCGGCGCGGCGCUUGUAGCCGCCAUGAAGUACUGUAAAUUUUGUUAUCUAGUCACGGUCGUCGUCUCGUCGGCCUAUUCUUUUUUCCGGCGCCGCGCGCGCGUCGGAUGCGCCUGUCGAGCCGAGCAGUUUCCCUGCUGCUUCUGCAGUGGCAGUCUCUCUGGCGUACUCCUAUAGUCCUAUCCUUGCACGCGGUUCUCGUUGACUCUCUCUCUCUCUCUCUCUUGUCCGCUGUUGACUAAUUAGUAAGCCUCGUUUGGAUCAGCUCAGCGCCACCCGUCCUGUCGAGCGGGAAUCUUAAAAUAUCGCCGCUCUGUUUACUCGACAGAUCGCUAAAAGGCCAGAGAAGGUUGCUACUGCUACAGGAACACUACGAGUUGACUACUGGUGCAGAGCCGAGGUCGCAGAUGAGCGAGCGGCGCAGGCGUCCGCGACCGUCGCUUUCGGGUAGAGAUGGCAACGGGGCCCGUUACCCGUUACCCGGCGGGUAAUUACUCCAUUAGGAAACGGGUUUGGUUGCAAAUUUGUACCCACGGGUCAUAUAACGGUAGAAAAAGAAGAUCCGACGGGUACAGCGGGUUCGGGUAUGUAAUCGUUAAACCCAUACUCGUAUACUCGUGGGUAUAAAAUACCCGUAAUUUUAGCCUACCUAGCGUCCUAGCCCAUUAAUUUGCCUAGCCGCCUAGGUGGCUGGGAGCCUGGGUCCAAGCGUCCGGUGUGGGAAUCCAAGCGUCGAAGGCGAAGCACCAAGCGUCCAACACAACUACACAAAGCCACCUCUAUCAGUCCACCAUGACACCUUCGCCAGAGCCCAGAGGCCUGAUUCCUGAACAUGGCGACACACUGGAUGUUUUCUUAAGAGCUAGUCGUGUUGAUAAACAUUAUACUUGCUUGCUUAGUGAAGAAGAAUGGGUACCCAUCGGGUAUAGAAUACCCACACGGGUACGGGUAUGAGUGUGCAUUUGUACCCGUGUACGGGUAUGGAUAUUGGACUGAGGAGUUUUUAUUCUAACGGGGCCGGGUCUGGAGUAGCAAAACCCAGCAGGUCUUCACCCGUUGCCAUCUCUACUUUCGGGCCUUUUGACUCCAAAAAUAUGCAAGCAAAGCACCCAGGAAAUUUUGGUCGGCCCCGCCCGCCGAACCGACGGCCGGAGGCACGCGUGCGAGCGUGUGGGCCCCACGCGACGACAGACUGAUGUCACGUAUAACUUGCAGUUACAGACUUAGGGAGGGUUUGAUUUCUAAGGACUAAUUUUUAGUCUCUAUAUUUUAUUUCAUUUUAGUUCAAAAUUUGUCAAAUAUAGAAAUUAAAAUUCUAUUUUAAUUUUUAUAUUUGACAAUUUAUAAACUAAAAUGGAUAAAAAUGAAGAGACUAAACAUUAGUCCCUAUAAACCAAACAUCCCUUACAGUAGCUAGUUAUAACUCCAUUUUCAAAUAUUUUUAGAUCGCUAUUUUAUUUUUGCACUAAAACAUGACAGAUAAAAAAAUAAAAUGAGUAGUACAUAACGAAAUAUACGUAUAUGAAAUAUGUGAUGGUACUUGUAUAUAGCAGAGCAGGCUCUAGUGUUGAUGAACACGGUGCUUGCGGUAGCUAGACGACACACCAGAGCCAAGCAAGUGACUGUGCACACGCAGUACGCACAGGACUACCGAGUCCAAUCAACAGAAACUAAGGGCCUUUUGACCAAAACUAGACGUACGUGUCCAAAGGUCAGAAUUCGCAAGGCAGAGACCUCUCCACAAUCUGAUCCCAUAGGCCAGAGCCACAGUCGUCUAACUUUCACUCGAGCCGGCCGGCCGGCCGGGCGGCAAAAUAAAUAUCAGACAGAUCCCUUCACUAAACACUAUCGGAUAGGGGAGUAUAUAUGCACCGUAUUCUUCGGUACGACGCUUGACCUGGACGACGCCUCUAGCUAGCUAGCUAGCUAGCAAACCGACCCCAUGGCAGACGAGUGGUGGAGCUGCACGCGUGCUGCCGACGACGACGACGACGCCGGUGGCUCGCCCUGCUCCACAGCCCCGGCAACAACGGACCAGCUCGACGCUGCCGACGAGCCGGCGGCGACGAGCACUGCCUCGAUCGAUUUCCGGCGGCCAACCUCAUUAUUGCACGUCGUCCGCCACGCUGCCGUCCCGCCAUCAUCCCCCUUAAUCCUCGCCGAUCCACCCCAUCAUAUCGACGACUGGACGCAAGCCUACUUGUAAGAGCGGAGAAUUCUCAUGUCUCCAGUCUCAACUUGCUUGGCACACAAUCUCUCCACGUUACAUAUGCGUGAUGAAUGGCGGUUUCCACUAUGCAUGCACAGGUGCGGGAGAGCGCCGCUCGCGGCGGCGGCGGCGGCAGAGGCGAGCACAAGCCUCAGCGCGCUGCUCCAGCUCCACGGCGGCGACGCUGCUGGCCGCCACUUCCUGCUCGCCCAGCACCUCCACGGUGACGCUGCUGACAGCGCGGCGGCGCACGUGGCAGCAGCGUCGCAGAGCUCGGCCCUGUACGCCGCCGCCGGCAACCAGCCGUACUCCUCCAGCUACGGCGGCGGCGCGCCGGCGGCAGGAGCGCUGAUGGCCCAGCAGCCGCCGUUCCCUCAUCAGGACGAAUUCGAAUUCUCAUCCGCCAGCCUCUUUGUUGGCUCCUCGUCGUCGACGCGGGAUUCCGCCGGCGUGCCGGCGGCAGCGGCGCGGCGGCCCGCCGUGACGACGACGAAGCCGCUUCUCUUGCAGGCCUUGGAGCAAAAGGCUUUCGCGGUAUGAUAUGAUACGAUGCGACGACUGGGCGGCUCGAAGCGGAUCGAGCCGCGCGUUGCACUUGCAUGUUGCCUACUCUACUACUACUCUAGUCUCUAGGGUUUCUUUCUCACGCCUCGAUCGAUCGAUCGGCGUCUGGUGCGUGCAGUUCCACUCCCAUCAUAAGGAACGUACACGACAACACGACGCUUCCUCGGCGACGACAGCAAGUGCUCCCGGCUCGCCUGCGCCGGCGAAGAAGCCCCGGGUCGUCGCGACGCCGUCUCCUUUGCCGACCUUCAAGGUGUGUGCACAUGGACUGCUCGCACCGCACAGACCGGGCAGCUAGCUCUAGCUGUGACGCAUGCAACCUAAAGAUAGUAUUAUCAUCAUCAUCUUGCACCUUGGAUUAUUCGGACACAUCUUUUGGUUUCCAGCUCAACAUGCAAUCCAAACAAGUAGUUAUUCGAUCUUGUUAGCUAUGAUAAUGAUCGGUGAUCAGCUGUACUACUACGAUUGCCUUCGAUUUGAUCCUUGUCCGAGCGCAGGUGAGGAAAGAGAAGCUCGGGGACAGAAUCACUGCGCUCCAGCAGCUAGUCUCGCCUUUUGGAAAGGUAGUACACCUUUUUCUAAUUCUUCCCCACUCCAAUCUCUCUGCAUCAUCGGUUUCUCUCCUUCCUUCCUCUAAAUUAAACUCUUGCAUUUGAGCGAAAGCCUCGUGUUCCAUUAUUAUUCCAAGUUGUUGAUCGAUAUGAACCUUGACUUAAUUUGGCAUCAUGCAUUUCCGAUGCACACGGCCGGCGGCAACAUCUAUCGACGCAUAUAUAUAUCGUCUGCGGAUCUUAGACGGAUACUGCAUCGGUUCUUCACGAGGCCAUCGAAUACAUCAGGUUCCUGCAUGACCAAGUAGCUGUAAGUAUAUAUAUAUAUAUACGAAUCCUAUACUUCAUCACGAUCAAAUGGCUGCAAAAAAAUCAAUAUAUUUGUGUGUGUGAUUCGAGCUAAUUAAUGAACCUGACCUUGAUCUGCGCACAGUCCCUGAGCUCUCCCUACCUCGGGUGUGGGCGGCCCGUAGUGCAGCAGAUACAGCAACGACGACAGGUGAGUACUCACUCUGUUUCUUUUUAGCUGUCGUUGUAUAGUUUAAUUUUACAUUAUCAGCGACAACUAAAACGAAACGGAGGGAGUAGUUAAUUUUAUUUGUUUGCACCUACAAACUACAAAGUAAAAGUUAGGUACAUUUCCUAAUUUCAUCCUGAUGAAUUAACAGGCGAAGGACGACGGCGGCGCCGCGGCGAAGGAGGACCUGCGAAGCCGAGGGCUGUGCCUUGUCCCGGUGGCGAGCACUACGACUUAUGCAGUGGCCGCUGGUGGCGAGACGGCGCCGGAGUUCUGGCUCCCUAACUUUGGGGGCACACUACGGUAGGGACAGAGACAGAGACAUGAAUAUAGUAGCGUGGACAUGGAGAUCUUGGUAGCUAGCUAGGUCUCGUAGGCAUGUAUUUGUAGCUAAUAAGGCCGUAUUCUCAUGUCUGAUGCAAAAGCAAAUGAAUAAACCUGACCAGUCGAUCACACUAGUCUCUAAGGGUGUUUAGUUUGCUGGAAUGAACUGGAGAAACACAAUGGGAAGAGGGGAACAAAUAAUAUGCGGAAAAAAAUAAGACCACAACCACAUAUAUACAUGCACUUGCUUGCAUGUAUGUGGUGUGUACACAUGUACACGACCUGGAAAGUAUUCGGACGGGCAAUAAGAACUUAAGAUGGAUGUAUAUAGGGGUGAAAACGGGACGGAUACGGACGGAUAUUAGGUCAUCUCGUAUCCUACCCUAAUACAAUUUUAUCGGAUACAUGAUCGGAUACGGAUAGUGAAAAUCCGGGACGGAUACAGGACGUGAUCGGGUAAUAACCAGGGCGGAUAAGAAACGGAUAUCGGAUAUUACCCGGAUAGAUAACGGAUAUUAGUCGGAUAAUCCACCCUGAUGAUAUUAGUUGUCCAACCGUGAAACAAACGAAUAAAAUAAGGAAUACAUAAUUAUGUAUAUGAUAGCUCAAAUAUAGAAAAAAAUACCAACAAAACUGACACCAUACAAUUCAAAGUUACUAAUCACAAAUUCAUUAUAGAACCAAAACACGAUUUAAAAAAAACAGCAAUAUAUCCCCUUUUACGUAUAAUCCACAAGUAUAUAAUAAAUAUUAAAUAGUUCACACAAUUUUAUUAUAGAACAACAACACAAUUUAAAAAAAAUCAGCAACAUAUCCCUCUUUUAGACAUUAAUCACAAGUCCCUCUUUUAAGCAUAGCCAUGUGUGGUGGACUGGCUGCUGCGGCUCUCCUAGGGCUUCACGAUCAUGGUCUCAUGGACAAAUGCAGUGAUGCACUCACGUAUGGGCCAGUGGCCAUGAGCCCACGUCCCCACAAGUUGACGAGAUCAGUGCAUCACAAUUAGUAGAUACACUCGGUCACUUCGGCCUCUAGGCCUUGCGGCAGCCAGGCACCCACGUCACGCCCAGACAUGUUAAUAGGCUGACUGGUGUUGGGCCUGUAACUGCGAUAGCCCGGCACUGUAGUUACCCGUAUCCGACCCGGACUUCUCGGGUAUUUGCCGGGUAGUAGUCAUCCCGUAUCCUACCCGUAUCCGGCUAAUGUCUAACCGGGUACUAUCCGUAUCCGACCCGUAUACAAAAAUACCCGUAUCCGGUACCCGAAAAAUCGGGUAUUUCUAGUAUCCGUAUCCGGUACCCGCCGGGUAAUCCUGUCCUGUUUUCACCCCUAGAUGUAUUUUGAAGAAUCUGUGGACUUUUUUUCUUUGUCUUUAGAAAGUAGCCGGUCCUCUAGCUAGCUAGGACCUGUCUUUGGUCUUUCUCUCAUAGAGCAAUAGGUACACGACUUGUGUGCUAUGGAGAGUAGGAAGAGAGAAGGUAGAUAGGAAGAUCAUACCUUUUAAUUUAGGACCAAGGUGGACACACGUCGUAGUAUAGCAGAUGGGGUCGUAGACACCACCUCUGGGACUCAAGUUCCUCCCUCUUGAUUUGUUUUUCCUCCUCCCUUGAGUCAUUAGUCGCCGACGUAGAACCGUCAGAUCCACACCGGGUGCCAUAGAGGAUGUUGGACGAGAUCCUUUUCUCAUGUGACGGCUAGGAUUAGCGGAAGUGUUGGCUUCCAUGUUUUUCCUUUGAUCUCUCAAGAAAUAAGUUGAACGGGGGAGUAGAUACGGUGUUCGUCUCGGCUAUAAAAACUUACGAGUUAGGGAUAAUAUUUGACAACUUUUUGUCUUCAAGAAGCUUCUUUACAAAUCUGUUCGAGGAGACUUUUCUUUCUUACUAAAAAAAUAAAAUGAAUACUUAUUUUAGAAAACUUCUUAAGAUGUUCUAAGGACGUAUUUUUAUUUUUAUUUUCUUCUCGCUAUGUUUUUCUUGUAAAAUUUCAAUAUUUUUUAAAUUUCUAUAUACCAAACAUUGCCCUAAAUAGGGAUGGCAAGGGUACAUAUCUGUCGGGUAGUAUCAUUCCAUAUUCAUACCCAUAAAAAAAUUCUACCCGUCGGGUUAUACCAUAUAUGCUCACGGGUAUAAAAUCUUACUCAUACUCAUACCCGCGCGGGUAAUUUUACCCGUCGGGUAAUCCAUACCCGCUAGGAAAGUCUUAAAUUCAAAUAUACCAAUCACUCAAAAUAUUAAAUAAACAUACAAAAAAACAAGUUCAACUUCACAUAUAACAAAUCAUAUGAUUACAUAACUUGAUAGCUAAACAAAUAAUAGCCAUAGAAAGGUUUUAUUUUAGCUAAGAUGGGCUCUAUUAGAUAGUUAUAGUGGUAAUGAUGCGGGUAUAUUUUACCCAUGGAUAGACGGGUAUAGAUAGUAUCAACAUGUAGUCGUACCCAUCUACCUAACAGUAGAGGUUCUUACCCAUUAACAUACCCGCGGGUAGAAAAAUCAUCACAUACCAUCUUCAUAUCGGGUAAAACCCGUCGGGUAUUCGGGUUUCGGGUACCUAUUGACAUCUCUAGCCCUAAACCUAUCUAGCAGUGUCAAAGCUUUUUUUUCCUUUAAACAAGUUAUUACUGGUGGUAUGGUCUUUGCACUUUAGGCUAUCUUCAACAAUCUUAGGUGGCGUUUGGCAGAGCUCCACAGCUCAGCUCCCAAUAAGAAUCACCUCUAGGAAGCCAAACAACUACAAACUGAGUUGCUCUAUGGUAGGAGUGAAAUGAAUCUAGUCUCAAUUUUGUACUAGAGACUAGAGAGUGGAAGCCAAAAAAUUGUUUCAUGCUGCUCCCAAGCUGCUCCCCCACAUUCCAACCCCUCAAAAAUCACUUCACGCAUAAUUUUUCAAACGGUUUUUAUCAAAUAGAUUCACUCUAUUGAAGAAUUAUUUGGAAUCACUCUGUUGAAGAAUUAGCUAUCAGAGCGAGAAUCAUAGAGUAGGGCUCUGUCAAACGAGCCCUUACUUAUAUCAACUUUUAUUUUAAAUUUUACUUUAUAAAUAAUAAAAUAUAUAAUAUAAAUGGUGUUUUGUACUGCUAACCACUCUUCCGGUCCUUUACGUGGCACGACCCGUGUAAUCAUGCCAAAACACCGUACAUUAACAGUAGGACCGAGCCAGCGGUGGACUACAGAUUACUUCCAAAGGUCAUGCAUCAUGCAAGGUAUAUGGGCCGAAACGAGGAAGACCUUUUUCUCCUUUAGCACCAAGCGAGAGGAAUUAGACCAUGUUUGGUUCUACCAAAAUAAUCAUUAUCUGCUAAACUUUAACUAUCAAACAAGCCAUCUAAUGAAUUAAAUAAACUUUAGUUAGAGCUCAGAUUCCAUUUUCAGGGCAUGUACAACCUUGACUACUUGGAUCGAUUUUGAAGUAUAAGAGACAACUAAGAGGCUACAUCAUGCAAUCCUGAGUCGUAGAUUAUAAAUGCAGUUAAGAGACAAUACAUAUAGACCCCUUAAUUAAUGGAAGUUAGAGGAAGAAGAAGAGAAAAAUAGCUCCUCACUCUAUUGGAGAAAGAGAUGGAAGGUAGAGGAAAAGGGAUUAGGAAGAAGAAAAAUGAGUCCCUCUACCAUUUUGUGUUCCUUCCACUAAUGGUCACUAUAAAAUCAACCCCUUAUUCAGUCCAAUCUUGGAUCCGCCACUAAUAAUAAUAGAUGAUUGACCUGUAUAUCCAUGAUUUUCACUGGUGUGACAUACCGAUAUUAUUUUAUUUAUAUCAGCUAAUCCGUUAUCUAGAAUAAUCAAGAACCUCACCGUUUGCUAAACUUUAGUUAACUAUUACUUUCAUCUAAACUUUAGGUUGGUUUAAUUGAAAUGGAACUUAGUUUGGGCAAAUGCACAAUCCGAUCACCAAAUUUCAACCAAGCAAUACAACCGAAACCACCACGACAACAUAGAACGUACUAUAUGUCACUCUCGUCGUCAUGUAUUUGUAAUUAUGUAUGUAUAGGUGUAGGUAUACGUGUACAUGGGAGCAUGGCAAGGCCAUCCGAUCAGGCAGAGCCGCCCUUGAGCCUCUUGGCGAUGCCGGCGAAGUACUUGCCCUGGUGGAAGGCGUGCUCCAGCUCCAGCUCCGUCGGCCACCGCGACCCGUCCCCGGCGAAAGUGUGCCCGCGCCGUACGGGCUGCCGCCGUGCACGCUCUCCAUGUCGAAUAUCUUGGCGCCGAACGUGUACCCCACCGGCACGAACACCAUCCCGUGGUGCGUCAGCUGCGUCACCGCCGUCAGCCCGACAAAUUAAGGGAAAACGUGAGCAUAUGCUACACUAUUACCCACUGCCACUGCCAUGGAUGAGUUGGUGCAAGCAAUGCGAGGUGAGGUGAUGUGCCGAGGUCGGGUCAACGAUGACGACUCACGGCGUGGUCUCCUGCCCGCCGCCCUGGCUGCUGGUGCUGAAGAAGAGGCCGGCGGGCUUGCCAGCCAGGCUCUGCUCCCGCCACAGCCCGCCGGUCGCGUCGAAGAAGGCCUUCAUCUGCGCGGCCAUCAUGCCGAACCGCGUGGGGAAGCCGAAGAGGAUGCCGUCGGCUGGCCUCGGCGAGCUCCUGCGGCGUGAUGAUCGGCGCGUCCGUCUUGGGUGGUGCGCCCAUCUUGCCGAGCACCUCCUCGGAUAGAAUUUCUGGGACCUUUACGAAUCGGAGGCAUGGGCGUGAAAUUGAGGAAAUUUGAUGGUGUUGGAUGAUAACUUCAGAGUCAUGCGUCGAUCAAACCCGAAGAUUGCAUCGUUGCUGCUGACACUGACCUGCCAUACUUUGACCUCCACGCCUUCAACUGACGCGGCGCCUUUCUUGAUCUCCUCAGCUAGCUUGGCAACAUGAACUGAAACAAUCUAGUACAGGCCAGUAUAUCACUUUCAGUAAACACACAGUUUGCAAUCCUCAGGAAACAAGUUGUGAAUAUACUAGAGCAGGCACCAGUGAAGGCUAAAAUAUUGCCACAGCAGACUAUAAGAAUCGAUUAGGUAUUUCGGUGUAAUGAUGAACCGGAAAGAAACAAGUGCUUCCCAUCUUUUAAUCAAAAUAUCAAAUUAGGCUUCUAGAUGCUCUUGCUUUUUGGGUAGUUGGACAGUCUCAUUCAGGCAGCUAAACUAAGGCAUGGGCGGAUUAUAAUUACUUAAUACAAAAGGAUAUUAGAGUGGUUGUUGAUCCUUUUAAGUCCAUGUUUGGUUUCUUUAGUCUAGAGACUAAAGUUUAGUCUCUAACAUGUUUGGUUCUAUGAACUAAAAUUAGUAAAAAUAUACUAAAUGACUUAUAAGAAGACUAAAAAUGACCUUUAACAUUCUCCUGUUAUUAGUACAAUUGAACUAAAUGAGGGGCAAAUGUGGAAUUAAUAUGGUUUAGUUCCUUUUAGCCACAUCUUAAGGGACUAGGGACUAAAGCAAUUUAGUCUCUGUUUUAGCGCUACCGUUUAAUAAUUUAGUAACUAAAUAAGACUAAAAUGGAGAGACUAAUCUUUAGUCUCUCAAACCAAACGUGGCCUAACAUGUCAUACAGAUGUGACGACCACAGCUAAAGAGAUGCGAUUUGGAUUGAAAGCACACAGUGGCUUGACACUUACAACACGACGCUUACACCAAGUAUUGAACAAUAAAACAGUCAACUCUAUGCCCAAGGAUACUGCUCAUUUUUUGCUGCUCAAAAGCGGCAUCCUGUGUUUUUUUUACUCAAAUUUGAAGUUUCUGCACGUUCGAUGGUGGAGCCAAACGGACCGUAUGCCGUGUUAUUUGGGUAUUAUUUUUUUGCGAAACAAAUGCGCAAGGGAUGCAAAACUGUGCGCCAAGUAAAUGGACAAAUGGUCCAUGUGUUGAUGUGAAAGUGGGAAGCAACAAGAGGUAGCUAACAUGCAUGCCCAUCAGCAGACAGAGUGGAACUGUUACUGUACUGCUGUAGUGGAAAAUCCAUAUCAACUGAAAAGGGCAUCCGUGGACUUCAUAAUUGCCCACAAGAGAAGAGCAUCUAUCGUUGAGGUGAUUCAUUCUAGAAGUUUGCAUGUAUAGACGCAGAAAGUCACAAGCAAAAGGGUACAUAUAAUGACUGAUGGAAAACUGAACAUGCUGUCGUUUUACACAUGGUUGGGUUUAUGCGUAAUAGGAACGACCGAUAGAGAAAUAUGAUAAAGAUAUCUUCCUAGACUUCUAGGCUCUUUUAGGUAGUGUUCAGUUGGAAUGGAGCACCUUCGUGCCAAAAAACGGCUAUGUCCGGUAUAUUUUGAGGAGCCGGAUGAUCGUCGUUUAAAUAUAAUUUUUCUUUUUUUAGAGCCAAUCAAUUCUACACGGCACCAAUUUAAACAACAUCAAAUUAGAAGCAGGAUGGCUUCGUCCAACUAUACUUCGAAACCAAACAAUACCUUAGUCUGUCCUUCUCUCCCUCUUCAUUUGCGUGGUUGUAUUUUUUUAAAAAAGAUUUCUUGUUAAUUCAUUUUCAGUAGGGGUGCAAACCCCUCAUGUCUUUCUCAAAGAAAAUGAUAAAGAUCCGCAAAUAAUUUUGAAGUUGUUAAGAAAGUGUGUUGCAUUAUAACUAUAAUUCGUUGAGCUCGAUAAACAAACUUCAACUUGAACGUGACGGAUUAACCUUGAGUCGGUUAUUUGAACAUGUGGUUGACUUUGCAUAAUACACGCAUGUCCAUUCCAUAUUUUGAAUGUUGAGUUAUUUUUUAAAAAAAUGGUGUCCAGCUAUACUACCAGCAGAGCCAGGAGAGAAACAAAAAUCGCAUUGCUAAAAAAUACUAUGUCCUUUUGCUCCCAGCAAAUGGUGGGAUCAGGGAGUUGGUAAAGAUGCCAUACAUGACUAAAUGAGAUGCUCCUUGUCAAAGCAGCCGUCCUUGAAGUAGGCUAAUUAACCGGCGUGAGUCCGCGUCGUUUGGAUAAAUUCUAUUCUAAUAAUAGUAAUUUAGAUACAUAUCAAUUAAGCUAAUUUAGUUUUAUACAAAAUAUAUUUGUAUAUUAUUAUUAGCAAGAUGUCGGAGACAUUUAUGUGUUACAUUUUUAUUAUGGAAGAGUGAGUUGUGAGCCGAAAAGUGUCUAAGUUGUAGAGCAGAAACAAAUUCUACUGAUACAUAAAAUUAUUUCUCAUCCUCCACUCUAUGAAUUUGAAAACUUUGGAAAGCGGUAGAAUAUUAAAUUUCAAGCUAAAUGGAUUACUUUAUUAAAUAAUUUUCAAUUCCUACAAAAUGAAGUGAACUAAACGUCCAAUUAAUCUAAUUGAUCUACGAGCUAUCUUCCACGGCCUCCCAAUCAAAGUUCAAAGCAUACCAGAGGCCAAGGCCUAACCACUCCCUCGUGGACGUAAUCGAGACAAUGACAGGCAAAAAAGGAGCCUAGAUUAUUCAUUGAUACUGGACACAGUCGUGAUGAUCGAGAUUGGAACUUCUAGACGUAUCACUGGACGUACCAGAGCAACUAAGACAAUGAAAAAAAAGGGCGAAUGGCCUGUAUUUUCUGAACACGGUAGUACUCUAGUCGAUUCGAAUCACAAACAUCUAAGUUCAGCGCUCAUGCGGUUUCAUCCGAACUUACGAAGGAUUCGGCAGCUCUGUACAGAAUCCGUGACGGGGAGAAGAAGCAAACUGAAAGUCGCCUAGAGGGAGUGAAUAGGGCGAAACUGAAAUUCUCAAAAUAAUCACAACUACAAGUCGGGUUAGCGUUAGAAAUAUAAUAGAGUCCGCGAGAGAGGGUGCAAAACAAAUCGCAAGCGAAUAAUGAAGUGAGACACGCGGAUUUGUUUUACCGAGGUUCGGUUCUCUCAAACCUACUCCCCGUUGAGGAGGCCACAAAGGUCGGGUCUCUUUCAACCCUUACCCUCUCUCAAACGGUCCCUCGGACCGAGUGAGCUUUCUCUUCUCAAUCACUUGGAACAAAAAGUUCCCACAAGGACCACCACAAGAUUGGUGUCUCUUGCCUCAAUUACAAGUGAGUUUGAUCGCAAUGAAAGAAUCAAGAAAGAAGAAAGCAAUCCAAGCGCAAGAGCUCGAAAGAACACAAGCAAAUCUCUCUCUCUAAUCACUAGGGCGUUGUGUGGAAUUUGGAGAGGAUUUGAUCUCUUUGGUGUGUCUAGAAUUGAAUGCUAGAGCUCUUGUAAGUAGUUGGGAAGUGGAAAACUUGGAUGCAAUGAAUGGUGGGUUGUUGGGGGUAUUUAUAGCCCCAACCACCAAACUAGUCGUUUGGUGAGGCUGUCUGUUCGAUGGCGCACCGGACAGUCCGGUGCACACCGGACAUGUCCGGUGCGACAGCCAUGUCACCAAAAGCCGUUGGGGUCGACCGUUGGAGCUCUGUCUUCUGGGCCCGCCUAGAUGUCCGGUGGCGCACCGGACAUGCACUGUAGAUUGUCCGGUGCGCCAGCAUGGGCGUGCCUGACCUCUGCGCGCGCAGCGCGCGCAUUUAAUGCGUCGCAGGUAGCCGUUGGCGCCGAAAUAGCCGUUACCCCGCUGUUACACCGGACAGUCCGGUGUACACCGGACAGUCCGGUGUACACCAGACAGUCCGGUGAAUUAUAGCGAAGAUGCUUCAAUGAAAUCCCGAGGCUGGCGAGUUCCGGAGGCCGCUCUUCCUUGGAGCACCGGAUAUGUCCGGUGUACACGGAACAGUCCGGUGAAUUAUAGCGGAGUCACCUCUAGAAUUUCCCGAAGGUGACGAGUUUGAAGUCGGAGUCCUCUGGUGCACCGGACAUGUCCGGUGGCACACCGGACAGUCCGGUGCGCCAGACCAGAGGUGCCUUCGGUUGUCCCUUUGCUCUUUGGUUGAACCCAAUACUUUGUCUUUUUAUUGGCUAAGUGUGAACCUUUGGCCUCUGUAUAACUUAUACACUAGAGCAAACUAGUUAGUCCAAAUAUUUGUGUUGGGCAAUUCAACCACCAAAAUUAUUUAGGAACUAGGUGUAAGCCUAAUUCCCUUUCAAUCUCCCCCUUUUUGGUGAUUGAUGCCAACACAAACCAAAGCAAAUAUAAAAGUGCAUAAUUUGAACUAGUUUAAUAAUGUAAGUGCAAAGGUUGUUUGGAAUUGAGCCAAUAUAAGUACUUACAUGAUGUGCAUGGAUUGUUUCUUUGUUUUUAACAUAUUGGACCACAUUUGCACCACAUGUUUUGUUUUGCAAAUUCUUUUGUAAAUUCUUUUCAAAAUCCUUUUGCAAGAUAGUCAAAGGUAAAUGAAUAAGAUUUUUGCAAAGCAUUUUCAAGUUUUGAAAUUUUCUCCCUUUGAUCCAAAUGUUUUUCCUUUGACUAAACAAAAACUCCCCCUCAAAUAAAUUCUCCUCUUAGUGUUCAAGAGGGUUUUAAGAUAUCAAGUUUUGAAAAUACUACUUGCUCCCCCUUUAGAACACAAAGAGAUACCAAUUUGAAAUUUUCCAAUUGAAAAUCAUUAAUUUUAAAAAUUAGGGUGGUGGUGCAGUCCUUUUGCUUUGGGCUCAUACUUUCUCCCCCUUUGGCAUGAAUCGCCAAAAACGGAUACUUUGAGUGAGAUAUAAGCCCUUAGAAGUACUUUCUCCCCCUUUGGUCAUAAAUAAAUGAGUGAAGAUUAUACCAAAGACGGAGAGUGAUGUGGAGCGACGGCGAAGGGUGAGUUGUAGAGUGGAGUGGAAGCCUUUGUCUUCGCCGAGGACUCCAAUUCCCUUUCAAUAUACCUAUGACUUGGUUUGAAAUAUACUUGAAAAACACAUUAGUCAUACCAUAUAUAAAAGAGACAUGAUCAAAGGUAUAUUUAUGAGCUAUGUGUGCAAGUUUAGCAAAAGAAAUUUCUAGAAUCAAGAAUAUUGAGCUCAUGCCUAAGUUUGGUAAAAGUUUGUUCAUCAAGAGGCUUGGUAAAGAUAUCGGCUAAUUGAUCUUUAGUGUUAAUGUAUGAAAUCUCGAUAUCCCCCUUUUGUUGGUGAUCCCGAAGAAAAUGAUACCGAAUGGCUAUGUGUUUAGUGCGUCUAUGCUCAACGGGAUUAUCCGCCAUGCGGAUUGCACUCUCAUUAUCACAUAGAAGAGGAACUUUGGUUAGUUUGUAACCGUAGUCCCGCAGGGUUUGCCUCAUACAAAGCAAUUGCGCGCAACAGUGGCCUGCGGCAAUAUACUCGGCUUCAGCGGUAGAAAGAGCGACCGAAUUUUGCUUCUUAGAAGCCCAAGACACCAAGGAUCUUCCCAAGAACUGGCAAGUCCCUGAUGUGCUCUUUCUAUUAAUCUUACACCCCGCCCAAUCGGCAUCCGAAUAACCAAUCAAAUCAAAUGUGGAUCCCCGAGGGUACCAAAGCCCAAACUUAGGAGUAUAAGCCAAAUAUCUCAAGAUUCGUUUUACGACCGUAAGGUGUGAUUCCUUAGGGUCGGCUUGGAAUCUUGCACACAUGCAAACGGAAAGCAUAAUGUCCGGUCAAGAUGCACAUAAAUAAAGCAAUGAACCAAUCAUCGAUCGGUAUACCUUUUGAUCCACGGACUUACCUCCCGUGUCGAGGUUGAGAUGCCCAUUUGUUCCCAUGGGUGUCUUGAUGAGCUUGGCAUCCUUCAUUCCAAACUUGCUUAGAAUGUCUUGAGUAUACUUUGUUUGGCUAAUGAAGGUGCCCUCUUGGAGUUGCUUGACUUGGAAUCCUAGAAAAUACUUCAACUCCCCCAUCAUCGACAUCUCGAAUUUCUUUGUCAUGAUCCUACUAAAUUCUUCACAUGUAGAUUCGUUAGUAGACCCAAAUAUGAUAUCAUCAACAUAAAUUUGGCAUACAAACAAAUCAUUAUCAAGAGUUUUAGUGAAUAAAGUAGGAUCGGCCUUGCCGACUUUGAAGCCAUUUGCAAUAAGGAAAUCUCUAAGGCAUUCAUACCACGCUCUUGGGGCUUGCUUGAGCCCAUAAAGCACCUUAGAGAGCCUAUAAACAUGGUUAGGGUACUCACUAUCUUCAAAGUCGGGAGGUUGCAAACAUAGACCUCCUCCUUGAUCGGUCCGUUGAGGAAGGCACUCUUCACGUCCAUUUGGUAAAGCUUGAAGCCAUGGUAAGUAGCAUAGGCUAAUAAUAUGCGAAUUGACUCAAGCCUAGCUACGGGUGCAUAGGUUUCACCGAAAUCCAAACCUUCGACUUGGGAGUAUCCCUUGGCCACAAGUCGAGCUUUGUUCCUAGUCACAACACCAUGCUCGUCUUGCUUGUUGCGGAAGACCCACUUGGUUCCUACAACAUUUUGAUUAGGACGUGGAACUAAAUGCCAUACCUCGUUCCUCGUGAAGUUGUUGAGCUCCUCUUGCAUCGCCAUCACCCAAUCCGCAUCUUGGAGUGCUUCCUCUACCCUAUGUGGCUCAAUAGAGGAAACAAAAGAGUAAUGCUCACAAAAAUGUGCAACACGAGAUCGAGUGGUUACCCCCUUAUGAAUGUCGUCGAGGAUGGUUGUCGGGGACCAUAAUUAGGGGUACCCUCAAGGCUCCUAAUUCUCAGCUGGUAACUCCCAUCAGCAUGAAGCUGCAAAGGCCUGAUGGGUGCGAUUAAGUCAGGGAUCAGUCCAUUCGAGGGACACGAUCACGCCUCACCCGAGCCUAGCCUCGGACAAGGGCAGCCGACCCCGGAGGAUUUCCGUCUCGCCCGAGGCCCCCCUUCAGCAGCGAACAUAUUCCCGGCUCACCCGAGGCCCUGCCUUCGCUAAGAAGCAACCCUGACCAAAUCGCCGCACCGACCGACCAAGUCGCAGGAGCAUUUAAUGCAAAGGUGGCCUGACACCCUUAUCCUGGCGCGCGCCCCCCGCCGGCAAAGCCGAAGUGACCGCCGUCACUUCGCCGCUCCACUGACCGGCCUGACAGAAGGACAGCGCCGCCUACGCCGCGCCGACUGCAGUGCCACUGGACAGAGUAAGACUGACAAGCAGUCAGGCCCUGCCGGAGGCACCAUAGGAAGCUCCGCUUCGCCUGACCAAGGGCUCGGACUCGGGCCAAGUCCCGGAAGACGGCAAACUCCGCCCGACCCAGGGCUCGGACUCGGGCUAGGCCCCAGAAGACGAUGAUCUCCGCCCGACCCAGGGCUCGGACUUGGGCUAAGUCCCAGAAGACGGCGAACUCCGCCCGACCCAGGGCUCGGACUCGAGCUAAGUCCCGGAAGACGGCGAACUCCGCCCGACCCAGGGCUCGGACUUGGGCUCGGCCCUAGAAGACGACGAUCUCCGCCUCGCCCGACCCAGGGCUCGGACUUGGGCUCGGCCCCAGAAGACGACGAUCUCCGCCUCGCCCGACCCAGGGCUCGGACUUGGGCUCGGCCCUAGAAGACGACGAUCUCCGCCUCGCCCAACCCGGGGGCUCGGACUCGACCUCGGCUUCGGAGGAGCUUCCACAUCGCCCAACCUAGGGCGUAGACCAGCCAUGACAACAGGAGGCGCCAUCAUCACCCUACCCCGAGCUGACUCGGGCCGCAGGGAACAAGACCGGCGUCCCAUCUGGCUCGCUCCGCCAGAUAGGCAAUGAUGGCGCCGCGCAUGCUCUGUGACGGCGGCGGCUCUCAGCCCCCUUACGGAAGCAAGAGGACGUCAGCAAGGACUCAACCGCUCCGACAGUUGUCCCUCCGCCAAGCUCCAUCGGUCCUUCGACGGCCACGACAUCACACCAGCUGGGUGCCAAGAUCUCUCCGGCUGCCACAACGGCAUGUACCUAGGGCGCUAGCUCACCUCCGCUAGACAUGUAGCACCUUGCUACACCCCCCAUUGUACACCUGGAUCCUCUCCUUACGCCUAUAAAAGGGAGGACCAGGGCCCUCUUAGAAAGGGUUGGCCGCGCGGGGACGAGGACGAGAACAGGCGCUCGCUUGGAGCCGCUCGCUCCCUCUCCCGCGUGGACGCUUGUAACCCCCUACUGCAAGCGCACCCGACCUGGGCGCGGGACGAACACGAGGGCCGCGGGAUUCCCACCUCUCUCACGCCGGUCUCCGGCCGCCUCGCUCUCCCCCUUCACGCUCGCCCUCGCGCUCGACCCAUCUGGGCUGGGGCACGCGGCGACAUUCACUUGUCGGCCCAGGGACCCCCCGGUCUCGGAACACCGACAAUUGGCGCGCCAGGUAGGGGCCUGCUGCGUGUUGACGAACAGCUUCCCGUCAAGCUCCAGAUGGGUAGUCUCCAGCAACCUCUCCAACCCGGGACGGUGCUCCGUUUCGGGAGUCUUGAGUUCAUAUCCCUUGACGGCAGCUACGACAUGAUGCUCCUUCCACCGCCGUGCGACAACAACGGUGGCGGCCGACAACCCGCCUGCCGGCGGCGGAAUCGGCGACGUCUUCCCCGCAUGGUGGAAGAACAACCUUCGAGCUCACCCCGUCCUCUCCCCCGUCGACGGAGGAGGAGGCGGGGCAACCAAGGCCAAGCAGGAGGCAGCGCCUCGUCGGCUGUUGAGCGAGUCGACGGUCCCGGCACCCCAACGGGGGGCGCACCAGGCGUCGACCUCGCGUUUGAGACGAAGGCGAGCGUCGUCUCCCCGCGACACGCCAAUCCCGAGCAAGCGGGCGACGCUAGCACGCUCACGAAAAGCUUGCUGGACGUCACCCUCGUACCUGAGACGACGGCGCAGUCAGUCCCCGACACGACCUUAUCACCGCCCGUCGACCAAAAGGUACCGAUCGAUUCCCAUCCCGCGUCUUUCGGGUUCAGCCUCAACCCGUCUAGCGACUUCGCUUUGGCAGGCGCUCUCGUAGAGGCAAAUCUAGACCCUCUAGGGUUUCGUGUGCGGUCACCUUGGGACCGGCUGACGGACGUCUCGACCUACGGGCCCUCUGGGUCCGAGGAAGACGACGAACCCAGCAUCUGUUGGGAUUUCUCUGGACUUGGUAACCCCAGUGCCAUGCGGGACUUCAUGACCGCAUGCGACUACUGCCUUUCCGACUGUUCCGACGGUAGCCGAAGCCUCGGCGACGAGGAUCGCGGCCCAAGUCGCGAAUGCUUCCACGUCGAUCUAGAGGGUCCCCCCGAAGGCAGCCAUUUCGGCAUGCCGGAGGACGGUGACCUCCCUAGGCCGGUGCCUCGCGUUGACAUCCCACGGGAGCUAGCUGUGGUCCCCGUUCAGGCGGGGGGUCAUGACCCACAGCUCGAGCAAAUCCGUGGGGUGCAGGCCGGGCUCGACGAGGGAGCAGGAGCGCUGGAGCCGAUCCGUCGGGACGUCGGGCAGGCAUGGGCGGGCCAACCUCCGGCCGGAGAAAUACGUCAUCUACCCCAGGGUUUCCAGCACCGCAUCACCGACGACGUCAGGCUCAGGCCACCACCCGCAUCCAGUGGGGUCGGCCAGAACCUGGCGGCAGCAGCAAUGCUUCUUCGCGCGAUGCCAGAGCCAUCAACCACCGAGGGGCGGCGAAUCCAGGGAGAACUCAAGAAUCUCCUGGAAGGCACCGCGGUCCGACGGGCCGAGAGCUCUGCCUCCCGAAGGUAGGGGUACCCCUCGGAACCUCAUGCUGUGACUUCCCGAUCCAUGCGGGAAGCCUCGGUCUACACCGGGCGCACGCGCAACACCACGCCUGCGGCCCCGGGUCGCCUCGGCAACGAGCACCACCACCGCAACCGACGGGCCCACCUCGACGAGAGGGUGCGCCGAGGCUACCACCCCAGGCGUGGGGGACGCUACGACAGCGGGGAGGAUCGGAGUCCCUCGCCCGAACCACCCGGCCCGCAAGCCUUCAGCCGAGCCAUCCGACGGGCGCCGUUCCCGACCCGGUUCCGGCCCCCGGCUACUAUUACAAAGUACUCGGGGGAGACGAGACCGAAACUGUGGCUCGCGGACUACCGUCUGGCCUGCCAACUGGGUGGAACAGACGAUGACAACCUCAUCAUCCGCAACCUCCCCCUGUUCCUCUCCGACUUCGCUCGCGCCUGGUUGGAGCACCUGCCUCCGGGGCAGAUCUCCAACUGGGACGACCUAGUCCAAGCUUUCGCCGGCAAUUUCCAGGGCACGUAUGUGCGCCCCGGGAAUUCCUGGGACCUCCGAAGCUGCCGACAGCAGCCGAGAGAGUCUCUCCGAGACUACAUCCGGCGAUUCUCGAAGCAGCGCACCGAGCUGCCCAACACACCGACUCGGAUGUCAUCGGCGCGUUCCUCGCUGGCACCACCUGCCGAGACCUGGUGAGCAAGCUGGGCCGCAAGACCCCAACCAGGGCGAGCGAGCUGAUGGACAUCGCCACCAAGUUCGCCUCCGGCCAGGAGGCGGUCGAGGCUAUCUUCCGAAAGGACAAGCAGCCCCAGGGCCGCCCAUCGGAAGGUACUCCCGAGGCGUCAACUCAGCGCGGUGCCAAGAAGAAGGGCAAGAAGAAGUUGCAAACGAAACGCGACGCCACCGACGCGGACCUCGUCGCCGCCGCCGAGUACAAGAACCCUCGGAAGCCCCCCGGAGGUGCCAACCUCUUCGACAAGAUGCUCAAGGAGUCGUGCCCCUAUCACCAGGGACCGGUCAAGCACACCCUUGAGGUGUGCGUCAUGCUUCGGCGCCACUUCCACAGGGCCGGGCCACCCGCGGAGGGUGGCAAGGCCCACGACGACGACAAGAAGGAAGAUCACCAGGGAGGAGAGUUCCCCGAGGUCCGCGACUGCUUCAUGAUCUAUGGUGGGCAAGCGGCGAACGCCUCGGCUCGGCACCGCAAGCAAGAGCGCCGGGAGGUCUGCUCGGUCAAGGUGGCGGCGCCAGUCUAUCUAGACUGGUCCGACAAGCCCAUCACCUUCGACCGAGACGAUCACCCCGACCAUGUGCCGAGCCCGGGGAAAUACCCGCUCGUCGUCGACCCCGUCAUCGGCGACGUUAGGCUCACCAAGGUCCUCAUGGACGGAGGCAGCAGCCUCAACAUCAUCUACGUCGAGACCCUCGGGCUCCUGCGUGUUGAUCUGUCCUCUGUCCGGGCAGGCGCUGCGCCCUUCCAUGGGAUCAUCCCCGGGAAGCGCGUCCAACCCCUCAGACAGCUCGACCUUCCCGUCUGCUUAGGAACACCCUCCAACUUCCGAAGGGAGACCCUGACGUUCGAGGUGGUCGGGUUCCGAGGAACCUACCACGCGGUACUGGGGAGGCCAUGCUACGCGAAGUUCAUGGCCGUCCCCAACUACACCUACCUGAAGCUCAAGAUGCCGGGCCCCAACGGGGUCAUCACCGUCGGCCCUACGUACAAACAUGCGUUCGAAUGCGACGUGGAGUGCGUGGAGUACGCCGAGGCCCUCGCCGAGUCCGAGGCCCUCAUCGCCGACCUGGAGAGCCUCUCUAAGGAGGUGCCAGACGUGAAGCGUCACGCCGGCAACUUUGAGCCAGCGGAGACGGUUAAGUCCGUUCCCCUCGACCCCAGCGGCGACACCUCCAAGCAGAUCCAGAUCGGCUCCGGGUUCGAUCCCAAAUAGGAAGCAGUGCUCGUCGACUUUCUCCGCGCGAACGCCGACGUCUUCGCGUGGAGCCCCUCGGACAUGCCCGGCGUACCGAGGGAUGUCGCCGAGCACUCGCUGGACAUCCAAGCCAGAGCCCGACCCGUCAAGCAGCCGCUGCGCCGAUUCGACGAGGAGAAGCGCCGAGCCAUAGGCGAGGAGAUUCACAAGCUAAUGGCGGCAGGGUUCAUCAAAGAGGUAUUCCAUCCCGAAUGGCUUGCCAACCUUGUGCUUGUGAGAAAUAAAGGGGGGAAAUGGCGGAUGUGUGUAGACUACACUGGUCUCAACAAAGCAUGUCCGAAGGUUCCCUACCCUCUGCCUCGCAUCGACCAAAUCAUGGAUUCCACUGCUGGGUGCGAAACCCUGUCUUUCCUCGAUGCCUACUCAGGGUAUCAUCAAAUCAAGAUGAAAGAGUCCGACCAGCUCGCGACUUCUUUCAUCACACCCUUCGGCAUGUACUGCUAUGUCACCAUGUCGUUCGGUUUGAGGAAUGCGGGCGCAACGUACCAACGGUGCAUGAACCAUGUGUUCGGCGAACACAUUGGCCGCAUAGUCGAGGCCUACGUCGAUGACAUCGUAGUCAAGACGAGGAAAGCCUCCGACCUUGAAACGACAUUCUGAUGUCUCAAGACGAAAGGUGUCAAGCUCAAUCUCGAAAAGUGUGUCUUCGGGGUGCCCCGAGGCAUGCUCUUGGGGUUCAUCGUCUCCGAGCGGGGCAUCGAAGCCAACCCGGAAAAGAUCGCAGCCAUUACCAGCAUGGGGCCCAUCAAGGACUUGAAAGGCGUACAGAGGGUCAUGGGAUGCCUCGCGGCUCUGAGCCGCUUCAUCUCACGCCUCGGCGAAAGAGGUCUACCUCUGUACCGCCUCUUAAGGAAGGCCGAGUGCUUCACUUGGACCCCUGAGGCCGAGGAAGCCCUCGGGAACCUGAAGGCGCUCCUCACAAAGGCGCCUAUCUUGGUGCCCCCAGCUGCCGGAGAAGCCCUCCUGGUCUACGUCGCCGCGACCACCCAGGUGGUUAGCGUCGCGAUUGUGGUCGACAGGCAAGAAGAGGGGCAUGCAUUGCCCGUUCAGAGGCCAGUCUACUUCGUCAGCGAGGUACUGUCCGAAACCAAGAUCCGCUACCCACAAGUUCAGAAGUUGUUGUACGCGGUGAUCCUAACGCGACGGAAGCUGCGACACUACUUCGGGUCUCAUCCGGUAACUGUGGUGUCAUCCUUCCCCCUGGGAGAGAUCAUCCAGUGUCGGGAGGCCUCGGGUAGGAUUGCAAAGUGGGCGGUGGAGAUCAUGGGCGAGACAAUCUCGUUCGCUCCUCGGAAAGCCAUUAAGUCCCAGGUCUUGGUGGACUUCGUGGCUGAAUGGGUCGACACCCAGCUACCGACGGCUCCGAUCCAACCGGAGCUCUGGACCAUGUUCUUCGAUGGGUCGCUGAUGAAGACAGGGGCCGGCGCAGGCCUACUCUUCAUCUCACCCCUCGGAAAGCAUCUACGCUACGUGCUACGCCUCCACUUCCUGGCGUCCAACAAUGUGGCCGAAUAUGAGGCUCUGGUCAAUGGGUUGCGGAUCGCCAUCGAGCUAGGGGUCCGACGCCUCGACGCUCGUGGUGACUCGCAGCUCGUCAUCGACCAAGUCAUGAAGAACUCCCAUUGCCGCGACCCGAAGAUGGAGGCCUACUGCGAUGAAGUUCGGUGCCUGGAAGACAAGUUCUACGGGCUUGAGCUCAACCACAUCGCUCGGCGCUACAACGAGACUGCAGACGAGCUGGCUAAAAUAGCCUCGGGGCGAACGACGGUUCCCCCGGACGUCUUCUCCCGAGACCUGUAUCAACCCUCCGUCAAGAUCGAUGACACGUCCGAGCCCGAGGUACCCUCGGUCCAGUCCGAGGCACCCACGGCUCGACCCGAGGCGCCCUCGGCUCAGUCCGAGGCACCCUCAGCUUGACCCGAGGCGCCCUCGGUUCAGUCCGAGGUACCCUCGGCCCCCGAGGGUGAGGCACUACGCGUCGAGGAGGAGCGAAGCGGGGUCGCGCCUAAUCGAAACUGGCAGACCCCGUACCUGCAAUAUCUCCACCGAGGAGAGCUACCCCUCGACCGAGCCGAGGCUCGGCGGGUGGCGCGGCGCGCCAAGUCGUUCAUCUUGCUGGGAGAUGAGAAGGAGCUCUACCACCGCAGCCCCUCAGGCAUCCUCCAGCGAUGCAUCUCCAUCGCCGAAGGUCAGGAACUCCUACGAGAGAUACACUCGGGGGGCUUGCGGCCAUCACGCAGCGCCUCGAGCCCUUGUCGGGAACGCUUUCCGGCAAGGCUUCUACUGGUCGACGGCGGUGGCCGAUGCUACCCGAAUCGUCCGCACCUGCGAAGGGUGCCAAUUCUACGCGAGGCAGACCCAUCUGCCCGCUCAGGCUCUACAGACGAUACCCAUCACCUGGCCUUUUGCGGUGUGGGGUCUGGACCUCAUCGGCCCCUUGCAGAAGGCACCCGGGGGCUACACGCACCUGCUGGUCGCCAUCGACAAAUUCUCCAAGUGGAUCGAGGUCCGACCCCUGAACAGCAUCAGGUCCGAGCAGGCGGUGGCGUUCUUCACCAACAUCAUCCAUCGAUUCGGGGUCCCGAACUCCAUCAUCACCGACAACGGCACCCAGUUCACCGGAAGAAAGUUCCUAGACUUCUGCGAGGAUCACCACAUCCGGGUGGACUGGGCCGCCGUGGCUCAUCCCAUGACGAAUGGGCAGGUGGAGCGUGCCAACGGCAUGAUUCUACAAGGGCUCAAGCCUCGGAUCUACAAUGACCUCAAUAAGUUCGGCAAGCGAUGGAUGAAGGAACUCCCCUCGGUGGUCUGGAGUCUGAGGACAACGCCGAGCCGAGCCACGGGCUUCACGCUGUUCUUUCUAGUCUAUGGGGCCGAAGCCAUCUUGCCCACGGACUUAGAAUACGGCUCCCCGAGGACGAGGGCCUACACCGACCAAAGCAACCAAGUCAGCCGAGAAAACUCGCUAGACCAGCUAGAGGAGGCUCGGGACUAGGCCUUGCUACACUCGGCGCGGUACCAGCAGUCCCUGUGACGCUACCACGCCCGAGGGGUCUGGUCCCGAGACCUCCAGGUGGGCGACCUGGUGCUUCGACUGCGACAAGACGCCCGAGGGCGGCACAAGCUCACGCCUCCCUGGGAGGGGCCAUUCGUCAUCGCCAAGGUUCUGAAGCCCGGAACAUACAAGCUGGCCAACAGCCAAGGCGAGGUCUACGACAACGCCUGGAACAUCCAACAACUACGUCGCUUCUACCCUUAAGAUGUUUUCAAGUUGAUCAUAUACCUCGCACCCGCGCAAAGUUUAGUCAUCAAGGAAGGGUCAGCCUCGCCUCGGCAAAGCCCGACCCUCCCUCGGGGGUUAAAAGGGGGGGAACCCCCUCUGCGUCGAAAUUUUCCUCGAAAAAAAGAGAUCUUUUCUGCCAGAAUGUCUUUCGCGCUUUUUGGCUACUUCGAAAAGUGGAUCCUGAAAACGACGGAGUACACGUAAGCAGCCAAGGCUGACCGAGCCGAGGGACUCCUACGCCUCUGGGAUACGGAUACCUCACUCAUCACCUUCUGCGAUAAGUAACUCACGUUCGGAUAAGUGAUUCUGCGGACCGGACAAGUCUUCACGCUCGAAAGCUCUUCUACCGAAGCGAUCCUUCGAGCCUUUUUGACUGCGUCGGUGACAGAGCCCCAUGGACGGGUAAGAGUGCGCGUAAGCGGCAAGGCCGACCGAGCCGAGGGACUCCUACUUCUCCGGGAUACGGAUACCUCACUCAUCACCUUCCGCGAGAAGCAACUCUUGCUCGCACAAACAUUUCUGUUACCGACAAAACAGUCCAGAUGCUCGAAAUAAAAGGAAAAAGACGCAGCUUUACAACACGGCGAGGGUGUGUUUAGGCCUCGGCGGCCGCAGGAAACACACGCUACAAGACAAUCCGAUCCUGCAGGCUCGGAUCUUGACGGCUGAAGGGAGCAGCAGCACCCUUGGCAUCGACGACACCUUCGGCAAGGGCCAACCUAGCCUCGGACGGCGACGCGGUCCGAGGAUCUCCACUCUGGAGGACGACGUCAUCACCACGCCCGGGCCAUCGCCGCUAGGGUCUUCUCCGGGAAUCCGGCCCGAGCAGGCGGCUCGGCCGGUCACCCCGGGGCCUCGGCCAGUUACCUUCCGAGGACGUCGAUCCGGCCCGAGCAGGCGGCUCGGUCGGUCACCCCGAGGCCUCGGCCAGCUGCCCUCCGAGGACGUCAGCCCGACCCGAGGCCUUGGCUGGUCAAUUCCGGCGCUGGUCCCGCUAACGGACGACCCGGCCAGGCUCCGGCCAACCAGGUUUCCCUUUCGAGCCAACUCUGCCUCUGUCCAUGUUGACACCGCUACCCCUAGCCUCGGCUCAUCAAAGAGCGGCCGAGGGGUUCCUUUAACCAAGUUAGAGAAGCCUCGGACAACAAGGCCGACUGAGCCGAGGGACUACUACGCCUCCGGGAUACGGAUACCUCACUCGUCACCUGUACACGGGGCGACUCACGCUUGGUGAAGCGGUUCAGACAACCAACAGGCGAGACUCAGUGCUCGAAAAGGAGGAAAAUACACGGCUCCGUGCCAAAAUCACAUACAUGUUCAGGCCCCGACAGCCACAAUGAACAAAAACACUAGCACUCAAGGUGCCGUUACAAACGGAACUCCGGUUCCGUCCCCGCGGGUAUGGACAACCUCCACGACAAGGAAGCCCGUGGAGCGACAAGCUCUGGGCGAAUCACCAGCAAACGCGGGUCACCCCAAGGCGCAUCGGCAGAUCCUCACUCCUGUCCUCGCCACGCAAGCGAGGAAGAGGACGGAAUGUUGCAUCCUAGCUGGACAGCAACAGCCCGCCUCCCCCAGCAUGACUGGAGGACGUCUCCUCCGCAGAACUGGAGGAUGGUCUCCACCACCAGAAGCUGGAAGAGGAGGCGGUCGGCCGACCCACGCAGGGGGCAGAGCACCGGCUUGGCCCGGGCCCCGUCCCAGCGGGGAUGAUGAAGACCAGUUGGGGGCGGGGCAAAGACCACAGCCCAGCUUGCUCCUCCCCAUCCAGGGGCUGGUGGUCACCGUCUUGGGUGACCCCCGGCGAGGGGAAGCGGCCGGGCUGGCUGAUGAAAAUCCUUGAAGCCGAACGAUGGCUGAAAGGUACCAACUCCCGCGGAGUUGCGUUCCCCCAACGACAAGGCGGAAAGACGGUGGAUCCCCCCCAUCCGGGGGCCUGGAAGGUGGAAAGACACGAUGCAUAAGGGAGCGCGAAGACGUGGUCGCCCUCCAAGGGGGUCACCCUCCUUUUAAGGGCGGUCCUCCCUACUCGCGUCCCCAGCCGUCACAGGCUGAGUCUUCUCCAACACACUCCAAGGUCCUCCCCUACGGUGUGGGGGCUGGGUCCCACACGUCAUGCAAGCCAACUCAGGGCAGAAGAAGCCAAACCGCCGCGCGCGGUGCAUACAACCGCCCAGCGGUUACAACCGCCCAGCGGUGGGCAGCCAUGCAGGCGGCAUGCAACCGCGCCAAGUGGGCGCGCUCCUCCGACUCCCAACAUGCCCGGCAUGAAGGCCCAGGCCCACGCGUCAUGCAACCGGUGCGCCGGUUGCUACGUGUGAGUAACUGCAUCGCCACCCGCGCCACCACCGCACCUCCUCGACUGCGGAACCAAUACCGCGACUCAAGGCGACCCGGCGCGCGACCCAGCAGCACCAGCCUGGCGCGACGAUCAACACGGCCAAAAGCGGGCCGGCAGUAAUGGCGGUGACAGGCGAGCAGGCGCAGCGGUCGCGUCGUCAGCCAGGCUUACGUCCCAUCCGGGGGCAGCGAGAGAGCCCUCUCCCACGGCGUGAAGACAACGUGCCCGUGAUCCGUUCCUCGAACGGCUCGCGCACGCGCAACGGUCGCCCCUCCAACCACUCGCCCCAUCGCAUUAACUCCACGACGGGACACGCGGCGCCCCUGGCAGGAGAAGCGGGCGACGCUUCCCCUUCGCCAAAAUGAACGCGUCCAAAAAGGUACGCCGCGUCGUUCGAUUUUGUAUCCUUUUCCAUUUUUCCUCUUUCUCUCUCUUGCAACAGGGACCGGGAAAGAGGGAUACCCCGAAAAGGAUCCUUCCCUGAGAAGGAACCAGGCUCCGAGCCCCCCUACUGAUCAGAGGUUCGAAGGCUGGCCCCCCGGAAGGGUUCAACAGCCACCUCAAAUUCCGUGGGCCCUACACCCACUACUGGUCAGAGGUUCAAAGGCCGGCCCCUCGAAAGGGUUCAACGACCGCCUCAGGCUACUCGGGCUCCGCGCCGAAUACUGAUCAGGGGUUCGAAGGCUGGCCCCCGAAGGGUUCACAGCCGCCUCAGACGCCGAGCGAGGGAUGACCAUGGGUAUGUUCGAUACAUAACCAAGGCUCGGGCUGCGCUCCCGAGGUACCCUAGGACAUUUCUGAGACCGGCGGGAACGAUCUUGUAACAGAAUCCCACCAGAGGGAGGCAUCGAGCCCUCGGACCCCGUCGCCAGGGGACCGGGUCUGGCAGAUCACCCGCAGGUACUUUUGGGCGUGCCUCUGGGCCCCUAGCCGACCCCUAACGAAUGGGGCACGGACGUCCACUCGGAUUACCCACUUGCAGCUCGUCGGAGACACCAUGUUCGGCGCCCAUCGUGGGCAACAUGGCGCUUUCCCCCCUCCUCCUUGCGGAAAGGCGACGCAGGGGCGUAUGUAAAAAAGCCGAGUCUACCCCUGACCGCCCUCUCGCUCUGUGCAGAGGCUCGGGGGCUGCUCUCGCAAACCCGACUCCGGCCGAACCGUUGACAGCGUCAACAUACCAGCCCGAGAACUUGGGACCCGACCGUACACCUGGGCUACGGCCAGUUCGCAUGAGGGAACGACCAGACCAGCCGAAGCACUACGUGAGGUAGUAAGACCUCGAAGGAGUGAAACCACUCCUCCGAGGCCUCGGGGGCUACACCCGGCGGGUGCGCUCGCGCGCACCCACCGGAACAAAACGCAACCGAGAAAGGCUGGUCCCCUUGCAAAAAAGUGCGACGAAAGCCUCCAAGCGAGUGCAAACACUCCCUUCGAGGCUCGGGGGCUACUGUCGGGGACCAUAAUUAGGGGUACCCUCAAGGCUCCUAAUUCUCAGCUGGUAACCCCCAUCAGCAUGAAGCUGCAAAGGCCUGAUGGGUGCGAUUAAGUCAGGGAUCAGUCCAUUCGAGGGACACGAUCACGCCUCACCCGAGCCUAGCCUCGGACAAGGGCAGCCGACCCCAGAGGAUUUCCGUCUCGCCUGAGGCCCCCUUCAGCGGCGAACAUAUUCCCGGCUCGCCCGAGGCCCUGCCUUCGCUAAGAAGCAACCCUGACCAAAUCGCCGCACCGACCGACCAAGUCGCAGGAGCAUUUAAUGCAAAGGUGGCCUGACACCCUUAUCCUGGCGCGCGCCCCCCGCCGGCAAAGCCGAAGUGACCGCCGUCACUUCGCCACUCCACUGACCGGCCUGACAGAAGGACAGCGCCGCCUACGCCGCGCCGACUGCAGUGCCACUGGACAGAGUAAGACUGACAAGCAGUCAGGCCCUGCCGGAGGCACCAUAGGAAGCUCCGCUUCGCCUGACCAAGGGCUCGGACUCGGGCCAAGUCCCGGAAGACGGCGAACUCCGCCCGACCCAGGGCUCGGACUCGGGCCAGGCUCCAGAAGACGACGAUCUCCGCCCGACCCAGGGCUCGGACUCGGGCUAAGUCCCGGAAGACGGCGAACUCCGCCCGACCCAGGGCUCAGACUCGGGCUAAGUCCCGGAAGACGGCGAACUCUGCCUGACCCAGGGCUCGGACUCGGGCUAAGUCCUGGAAGACGGCGAACUCCGUCCGACCCAGGGCUCGGACUUGGGCUCGGCCCCAGAAGACGACGAUCUCCGCCUCGCCCGACCUAGGGCUCGAACUUGGGCUCGGCCCCAGAAGACGACGAUCUCCGCCUCGCCCGACCCAGGGCUCGGACUUGGGCUCGGCCCCAGAAGACGACGAUCUCCGCCUCACCCAACCCGGGGGCUCGGACUCGACCUCGGCUUCGGAGGAGCUUCCACAUCGCCCAACCUAGGGCGUAGACCAGCCACGACAACAGGAGGCGCCAUCAUCACCCUACCCCGAGCUGACUCGGGCCGCAGGGAACAAGACCGGCGUCCCAUCUGGCUCGCUCCGCCAGAUAGGCAAUGAUGGCGCAUGGCGCCGCGCAUGCUCUGUGACGGCGGUGGCUCUCAGCCCCCUUACGGAAGCAAGAGGACGUCAGCAAGGACUCAACCGCUCCGACAGUUGUCCCUCCGCCAAGCUCCAUCGCUCCUUCGACGGCCACGACAUCACACCAGCUGGGUGCCAAGAUCUCUCCGGCUGCCACAACGGCAUGUACCUAGGGCGCUAGCUCACCUCCGCUAGACACGUAGCACCUUGCUACACCCCCCAUUGUACACCUGGAUCCUCUCCUUACGCCUAUAAAAGGGAGGACCAGGGCCCUCUUAGAAAGGGUUGGCCGCGCGGGGACGAGGACGAGAACAGGCGCUCGCUUGGAGCCGCUCGCUCCCUCUCCCGCGUGGACGCUUGUAACCCCCUACUGCAAGCGCACCCGACCUGGGCGCGGGACGAACACGAGGGCCGCGGGAUUCCCACCUCUCUCACACUGGUCUCCGGCCGCCUCGCUCUCCCCCUUCGCGCUCGCCCUCGCGCUCGACCCAUCUGGGCUGGGGCACGCGGCGACAUUCACUCGUCGGCCCAGGGACCCCCCGGUCUCGGAACGCCGACAAUGGUGUCAACGGGGUGAUCUCGUUGGAUUGCUUGGUGGACUCUUGGGUGUGGCGGCCUUGGUUCUUCAUCCUCCUUGUCUUCAUCAUUUACAUCUCCCCCUUGAUCAUUGCCGUCAUCUUGAGGAGGCUCAUAAUUUUGUUCUACCUCUUUAUCAACUUGAGCCUCGUCCUCAUUUUGGGUUGGUGGAGAUGCUUGCGUGGAGGAGGAUGGUUGAUCUUGUGCAUUUGGAGGCUCUUUGGAUUCCUUAGGACACACAUCCCCAAUGGACAUGUUCCUUAGCGCUAUGCAUGGAGCCUGUUCUUCACCUAUCUCAUCAAGAUCAACUUGCUCUACUUGAGAGCCGUUAGUCUCAUCAAACACAACGUCACAAGAAACUUCAACAAGUCCUGAGGAUUUGUUAAAGACUCUAUAUGCCCUUGUGUUUGAGUCAUAUCCUAGUAAAAAGCCUUCUACAGUUUUAGGAGCAAAUUUAGAUUUUCUACCUCUUUUGACAAGAAUAAAACAUUUGCUACCAAAAACUCUAAAAUAUGAAAUAUUGGGCUUUUUACCAGUUAGGAGUUCAUAGGAUGUCUUCUUGAGGAUUCGGUGUAGAUAUAAUCGGUUGAUGGCGUAGCAAGCGGUGUUGACCGCCUCGGCCCAAAACCGAUCCGGUGUCUUGUACUCAUCAAGCAUGGUUCUUGCCAUGUCCAAUAGAGUUCGAUUCUUCCUCUCUACUACACCAUUUUGUUGUGGUGUGUAGGGAGAGGAGAACUCAUGCUUGAUGCCCUCCUCCUCAAGGAAGCCUUCAAUUUGAGAGUUCUUGAACUCCGUUCUGUUGUCGCUUCUAAUUUUCUUGAUCCUUAAGCCGAACUCAUUUUGAGCCCGUCUCAAGAAUCCCUUUAAGGUCUCUUGGGUAUGGGAUUUUUCCUGCAAAAAGAACACCCAAGUGAAGCGAGAAUAAUCAUCCACAAUAACAAGACAGUACUUACUCUCGCCGAUGCUUAUGUAAGCGAUCGGGCCGAAUAGGUCCAUGUGUAGGAGCUCCAGUGGCCUGUCACUAGUCAUGAUGUUCUUGUGUGGAUGAUGAGUGCCAACUUGCUUCCCUGCUUGGCAUGUGCUACAAAUCCUGUCUUUCUCAAAAUGAACAUUUGUUAGUCCCAAAAUGUGCUCUCCCUUUAGAAGCUUAUGAAGAUUGUUCAUCCCAACGUGGGCUAGUCGGCGAUGCCAGAGCCAACCCAAGUUAGUCUUAGCAAUUAAGCAUGUGUCGAGUUCAGCUCUAUCAAAAUCUACCAAGUAUAGCUGACCCUCUAACACACCCUUAAAUGCUAUUGAAUCAUCACUUCUUCUAAAGACAGUGACACAUACAUCAGUAAAUAGACAGUUGUAGCCCAUUUGACAUAAUUGGGAUACGGAAAGCAAAUUGUAAUCUAAAGAAUCUACAAGAAAAACAUUGGAAAUAGUAUGGUCAGGUGAUAUAGCAAUUUUACCCAAUCCUUUGACCAAACCUUGAUUUCCAUCCCCGAAUGUGAUAGCUUGUUGGGGAUCUUGGUUUUUCUCAUAUGAGGAGAACAUCUUCUUCUCCCCUGUCAUGUGGUUUGUGCACCCGCUGUCGAGUAUCCAACUUGAGCCCCCGGAUGCAUAAACCUACAAAACAAUUUUAGUUCUUGACUUUAGGUACCCAAACGGUUUUGGGUCCUUUGGCAUUAGAAACAAGAACUUUGGGUACCCAAACACAAGUCUUGGAACCCUUGUGUUUGCCCCCAACAAACUUGGCAACUACCUUGCCGGAUUUGUUAGUCAAAACAUAAGAUGCAUCAAAAGUCUUAAAUGAAAUGCCAUGAUCAUUUGAUGCACUAGGAGUUUUCUAUCUAGGCAACUUAGCACGGGUUGGUUGCCUAGAGCUAGAUGUCUCACCCUUAUAUAUAAAAGCAUGGUUAGGGCCAGAGUGAGACUUCCUAGAAUGAGUUCUCCUAAUUUUGCUCUCGGGAUAACCGGCAGGGUACAAAAUGUAACCCUCGUUAUCCUGAGGCAUGGGAGCCUUGCCCUUAACAAAGUUAGACAAGUUUUUAGGAGGGGCAUUAAGUUUGACAUUGUCUCCCCUUUGGAAGCCAAUGCCAUCCUUGAUGCCAGGGUGUCUCCCAUUAUAGAGCAUACUUCUAGCAAAUUUGAACUUUUCAUUUUCUAAGUUAUGCUCGGCAAUUUUAGCAUCUAAUAUUGCUAUAUGAUCAUUUUGUUGUUUAAUUAAAGCCAUGUGAUCAUGAAUAGCAUUGAUAUCAACAUCUCUACAUCUAGUACAAAUAGAAGUGUGCUCAAUGGUAGAUGUAGAGGGUUUGCAAGAUUUUAAUUCUACAACCUUAGCAUGCAACAUAUCAUUCUUAGUUCUAAGGUCGGAAAUUGUAACAUUGCAAACAUCUAAUUCUUUAGCCUUAGCAACUAAUUUCUCAUUCUCAUUUCUAAGGUUAGCAAUAGAGACAUUCAACUCAUCAAUCCUAGCAUGUAAAUCAACAUUAUCAUUUCUAGGAUUGGAAGUUGAAUCAAUACAAACAUGAGAAUCAACCUUAGCAAUUAAUUUAGCAUUUUCAUUUCUAAGGUUGUUAAUGGUCUCAUGGCAAGUGCUUAGCUCACUAGACAAUUUUUCACAUUUUUCAACUUCUAGAGCAUAAGCAUUUUUAACCUUAACAUGCUUUUUGUUUUCCUUGAUUAGGAAGUCCUCUUGGGAGUCCAAGAGAUCAUCCUUCUCAUGGAUGGCACUAAUUAGCUCAUUCAAUUUUUUCUUUUGUUCCAUGUUAAGGUUGGCAAAAAGGGUACACAAAUUAUUCUCCUCAUCACUAGCAUUAUCAUCAAUAGAAGACUCAUAUUUAGUGGAGGAUUUAGAUUUAACCUUCUUCCUUUUGCCGUCCUUUGCCAUGAGGCACUUGUGGCCGACGUUGGGGAAGAGGAGUCCCUUGGUGACGGCGAUGUUGGCGGCGUCCUCGUCGGAGGAGGACUCGGUGGAGCUCUCGUUGGAGUCCCACUCCCGGCAAACAUGGGCAUCGCCGCCCUUCUUCUUGUAGUACUUCUUUUCUCUCCUCUUUCCCUUCUUAUCGUCGCCCCUGUCACUGUCACUAGACAUAGGACAUUUUGCAAUAAAAUGACCGGGCUUACCACAUUUGUAGCACACUUUCUUGGAGCGGGGUUUGUAGUCCUUCCCCCUCCGUUGCUUGAGGAUUUAGCGAAAGCUUUUGAUGAUUAAAGCCAUCUCCUCAUUGUCGAGCUUGGAGGCGUCAAUUGGUUGUCUACUCGUCGUAGACUCCUCCUUCUUCUCCUCCGUCACCUUAAAUGCCACCGGUUGUGCUUCGGACGUGGAGGGUUCAUCAAGCUCGUUGAUCUUCUUUGAGCCUUUAAUCAUACAUUCAAAGCUCACAAAAUUCCCGACUACUUCCUCGGGAGUCAUUAGUGUAUAUCUUGGAUUACCACGAAUUAAUUGUACUUGAGUAGGGUUAAGGAAAAUAAGUGAUCUUAAAAUAACCUUAACCACCUCGUGGUCAUCCCAUUUCUUGCUCCCGAGGUUGCGCACUUGGUUCACCAAGGUUUUGAGCCGGUUGUACAUAUCUUGUGGCUCCUCCCCUUGGCGAAGACGGAAGCGACUGAGCUCCCCCUCGAUCGUUUCCCGCUUGGUGAUCUUGGUGAGUUCAUCACCCUCGUGCGCGGUCUUGAGAAGGUCCCAAAUUUCCUUUGCAUUCUUCAACCCUUGCACCUUGUUGUAUUCCUCCUUGCUUAGAGAGGCGAGGAGUAUGGUUGUAGCUUGGGAGUUGAAGUGCUCGAUUUGGGCCACUUCGUCCGUAUCAUAGUCUUCAUCCCCUAUAGAUGGUACCUGUGCUCCAAACUCAACAACAUUCCAUAUACUUUUGUGGAGUGAGGUUAGAUGAAAUUUCAUUAAAUCACUCCACCUAGCAUAAUCUUCGCCAUCAAAAGUUGGCGGUUUGCCUAAUGGAAUGGAAAGUAAUGGAGUAUGUCUAGAUGUACGAGGAUAGUGUAAGGGGAUCUUACUAAACUUCUUGCGCUCUUGGCGCUUAAAAGUUACGGACGGCGUAUCGGAGUCGGAGGUCGAUGUUGAUGAAGUGUCGGUCUCGUAGUAGACCACCUUCCUCAUCCUCUUGUGCUUGUCGCCUUUCCGAUGCGACUUGUGGGAAGAAGAUUUUUCCUUCUUCACUUUGUGGUGUGAGGAAGAAGAUCUUUUCUCCUUCCGUUUGGAGGAGUCCUUCUUCUUCUCCUUCCUUUUGGUGCGGGACUCUUCCGAUGAAGUGCUCCCUUGGCUCGUAAUGGGCUUGUCGCCGGUCUCCAUCUCCCUCUUGGUGUGAUCUCCCGACAUCACUUCGAGCGGUUAGGCUCUAAUGAAGCACCGGGCUCUGAUACCAAUUGAAAGUCGCCUAGAGGGGGGUGAAUAGGGCGAAACUGAAAUUCUCAAAAUAAUCACAACUACAAGCCGGGUUAGCGUUAGAAAUAUAAUAGAGUCCGCGAGAGAGGGUGCAAAACAAAUCGCAAGCGAAUAAUGAAGUGAGACACACGGAUUUGUUUUACCGAGGUUCGGUUCUCUCAAACCUACUCCCCGUUGAGGAGGCCACAAAGGCUGGGUCUCUUUCAACCCUUACCCUCUCUCAAACGGUCCCUCGGACCGAGUGAGCUUUCUCUUCUCAAUCACUUGGAACACAAAGUUCCCACAAGGACCACCACAAGAUUGGUGUCUCUUGCCUCAAUUACAAGUGAGUUUGAUCGCAAUGAAAGAAUCAAGAAAGAAGAAAGCAAUCCAAGCGCAAGAGCUCGAAAGAACACAAGCAAAUCUCUCUCUCUAAUCACUAGGGCGUUGUGUGGAAUUUGGAGAGGAUUUGAUCUCUUUGGUGUGUCUAGAAUUGAAUGCUAGAGCUCUUGUAAGUAGUUGGGAAGUGGAAAACUUGGAUGCAAUGAAUGGUGGGUGGUUGGGGGUAUUUAUAGCCCCAACCACCAAACUAGCCGUUUGGUGAGGCUGUCUGUUCGAUGGCGCACCGGACAGUCCGGUGCACACCGGACAUGUCCGGUGCGACAUCCACGUCACCAAAAGCCGUUGGGGUCGACCGUUGGAGCUCUGUCUUCUGGGCCCGCCUGGAUGUCCGGUGGCGCACCGGACAUGCACUGUAGAUUGUCCGGUGCGCCAGCAUGGGCGUGCCUGACAUCUGCGCGCGCAGCGCGCGCAUUUAAUGCGUCGCAGGUAGCCGUUGGCGCCGAAAUAGCCGUUACCCCGCUGUUACACCGGAUAGUCCGGUGUACAUCGGACAGUCCGGUGAAUUAUAGCGGAGCUGCUUCAAUGAAAUCCCGAGGCUGGCGAGUUCCGGAGGCCGCUCUUCCUUGGAGCACCGGACAUGUCCGGUGUACACCGGACAGUCCGGUGAAUUAUAGCGGAGUCGCCUCUGGAAUUUCCCGAAGGUGACGAGUUUGAAGUCGGAGUACUCUGGUGCACCGGAACACCGGACAGUCCGGUGCGCCAGACCAGAGGUGCCUUCGGUUGUCCCUUUGCUCUUUGGUUAAACCCAAUACUUUGUCUUUUUAUUGGCUAAGUGUGAACCUUUGGCCUCUGUAUAACUUAUACACUAGAGCAAACUAGUUAGUCCAAAUAUUUGUGUUGGGCAAUUCGACCACCAAAAUUAUUUAGGAACUAGGUGUAAGCCUAAUUCCCUUUCACAUACAAAGGAGCUAGGGCGCCAAUGGGGGCAAUUCGGGGAGCGGAUGAGCGACGCAGAUACUUACACCACGUAGACCUUGACCGCCAUUGGAGAAGGGCUGGAGCUACUCGGAUCUGAGAUCUGGGGGCUGAAGCAGGGGAAGGAGACGUCUGCCCGCUGGCUGCUGGGGUCGUCUUUGUUUGAUUAGUGUGUUCGAUGCGAAGAUGCCGGGGAAGUGGGGAGAGUAUUUAUAGGACCACCCUACCCCGCUCGCGUCCGGUUCGAUCCGCCUGCGAGGUGGUCCCGAGUGUGAUCCAGCGUGGCGGGCGCCACGUAAUCAGACCAGCAGUACGUCACGGUUGCAUCACCAGAACGCAGAAAUUCAGCUCAAGGGUCGAGAUAAAUAAAGAGAGCAGAAAUUCAGGAACAUGAAACAAGCUCCGUACCUUUGUAUGUAGGCGUAUAUAUAAUGUAUUAUGGUUUUUUGAGCACUAAAUAUACAUAAAAUACUUGUUCACAGGGGUGGAUUUGGGCCCCGGACCACCUGGGCCAUGGCCCGGGGCGUAGCCCAAAAGUCCUCCUAUAUAUAGAGUUUUUUCAGCAAAAAAAAAUUAGCCUAAAAUACAUUUCAGCCCAAAAAUAUAGUUCAAAAGACCUCCUGCUUGCCGCGAUUGAGUCUGGCGCUGACGACCUCCCUCGUCGCUCGUUUUAAAUGUUACUACCUUGUUCUUAAAUAUUUAUCGUCUUCUAUUUCAUUUCUAAACUAAAACACGAUAAAUAAAAAGACGAAGUAAUACAUCAAUUUUAUGGAGCUCCGCCCCUGCUUGUUCAUACAAUAAUCUAAUGUAUCUAAGAUUUAUAUCUUAUCUACUAUAAUCUCUCAACACACAUGUCAUUUAUAUUUAUUAUGAAUGGAAUUGUACUUAGAGAAAUGUGCUAGAGAUUUCCUUCACCGAAAUGUUUUUUUGUGUUUUUUACGCUUAACCCUUAGAUACUACUUAAGACACGAGUCAUUUAGGGUGUGUUUGGUUAGCGGGUUGAUGCGGGUUGAAACAGGUUUAACCAACAACAACUCGUGUUUGGUUCAAAAGGCUCGCGGAUUAGGUUGGUUCUUGAAAGGGAAAUAGGCUUACACCUUUUCCUAAAUAGAUUUUGGUGGUUGAAUUGCCCAACACAAAUAAUUGGACUAACUAGUUUGCUCUAGAUUAUAAGUUUUAUAGGUGCCAAAGGUUCACAAUAGACCAAUAAAAAGACCAAGAAAAGGUUCAAACAAAGAGAGCCAAAGGCAACGAAGUGUGCCCUGGUCUGGCGCACCGGACUGUCCGGUGUGCCACCGGACAGUGUCCGGUGCACCAGGGAACUCGAAGCUGAACUCGCUACCUUCGGGAAAAUAGGGGCUGCUCCGCUAUAAUUCACCGGACAGUGUCCGGUGGCACACCGGACAGUCCGGUGUGCCAGCGGAGCAACGACUACUUCAAGCGCAACGGUCGACUGCAACGCAUUUAAUGCGCGCCUGCGCGCGCAGAGGUCAGAGCAUGCGCAGUUGGCGCACCGGACAGCCUAGAGGCUCCACAAGUCAGAGCUCCAACGGUCGAACCCCAACGGCUGGCUGACGUGGCUGGCGCACCGGACAGUGUCCGGUGGCGCACCGGACUGUCCGGUGCGCCAUGCAACAGUAGACUCCCAACGGCCACAUUUUGGUGGUUGGGGCUAUAAAUACCCCAACCACCCCACAUUCAAUGGCAUCCAAGUUUUCAGACUUCUACACAUUACAAGAGCUAUAGCAUUCAAUACAAAACACACCAAAGAGAUCAAAUCCUCUCCCAAGUCUCUAGUUCAAUUCCAAUCAAUAGUGACUAGUGAGAGAGUGACUUGUGUUCAUUUGAGCUCUUGCGCUUGGAUUGCUUCUUUUCUUUCUCAUUUCUUCUUGAGACAAACUCAAUUGUAACCAAGGCAAGAGACAUCAAUUGUGUGGUGGUCCUUGCGGGGACUUAGUGUCCCGUGUGAUUGAGAAGAGAAGCUCACUCGGUCUAAGUGACCGUUUUGAGAGAGGGAAAGGGUUGAAAGAGACCCGGUCUUUGUGACCACCUCAACGGGGAGUAGGUUUGCAAGAACCGAACCUCGGUAAAACAAAUCCUUGUGUCUCACUCUUUAUUUGCUUGCGAUUUGUUUUUUACCCUCUCUCUCUCGGACUCGCUUAUAUUUCUAACGCUAACCCGGCUUGUAGUUGUUAUUAACUUUGUAAAUUUCAGUUUCGCCCUAUUCACCCCCCCCUCUAGGCGACUUUCAGUUCUGGGUCGAGAUACUUAUUGAAAAUGUGGGUUCUAGUGAUUCCUAAAAUACAAGCGAACCAUUUCGACUCACUUCCUCUUAGGGAUGGCAACGGAUCGAAUUCGGAUCGGAUAUUGCAAAUAUCCGUCCGCAACCAUAUCCGUGGUUGCUACCAAUAUCCACCCGCGACCGUACCCGCGGGUAGAAAUUUAUAUCCAUGCCCGUGCCCAUCGAAUUUCGGACGGGUUUCGGAUAUCCGUGGUUGCUACCAUUUCGACUCACUUCCUCAGUUCCUCUCCACCCUCUCAUCACCCAUGCUUUAUCCACUCGAGACCAGCACAGGAGUGCGCCGCCGCUGCCGGCCUGCUGGUACGAGGGACCCCCGUCGGCCUACCCUCCAACGUUAAUCCCCCGCCUGCCUCCUGUCGUCAGUUCCCCGCUGGCCUACCCUCGAACGCCGAUGUGUUCUCUAGUAAGCACAACCCGCGAGCCUUGCUAGUGCUGUCGUCGAACAGGUAAAGGUCAGUGUUCGUCAUCGCCUAGACAAGCCUGCUAGUGAUGAAAAAUGUUACAAAUUCACUGAAAUGCAUCUUGAUGUUGUUGGGAUGUUCCUUUAAUCAUGACUAAAAUGUAACAGUGAAACCUCAUCACUAAAAAUUUAUGACUUAGUCAAUAAAGACUUUAAUUUAUCUAUAUCUUAUGCUUAUGGAUUUCACAAAUAUUAAAAUAAUGCCAGUUUCAUUUAUUUUGAAUGAUGUCAUCUUAUUUAAUUGAAGAUAUCAUCCUGAGUGUGGUAAUAUGACCAGGAAGAUGACCAUAUUUAGUUCAUUCUUCAUCACGAAACAAACAAGAGAUGGUGCAUGUCUAACUCACUUUAACCAUGUAAUCAAACAAGAAAUUAGGUUUAACCUGUCACUGAAAUCAAACAAUGAACGGGUCCGAUCCAACCCAGAAAAAUAGAUCGACUCCGACACGACCAACAUCGUUUUGAAACCAAACACAUGCUUAUGUGGGUUGUAGGGUUGUAAACACAUUCAGGCUUCACCAGCAGUUAGGCCAUGUUUGUUUCCCCAUAAUAAAUUUUAGUCCCGAUCACAUCAACAGUUUAGAUGCUAGUUAGAAAUAUUAAAGAUAGUCUAAUUAUAUAAAAAAAUUACACGAUGAGAACUAAAUGAUAAAACAAUUUUAAUAAACCUAAUUAAUCUAUGAUUUGCUCAUGUCAGGCCACAAUAAAUAUUUGUUAAUCAUAGAUUAAUUAGAUUUACUACAUUGGUCUCGCUGUUUAGUCUUCACUGUGUAAUCAGUUUUAUAAUUAUACUUUAUUUAAUAUUUAUAAUAAUCAGCAAACAAUCGAUAUAACACGUGUUAAACUUUGGUCUCUAGAACCCAACACCUCCUUAAUAUUGCAAGUACAUUAGCUAAGCUUCAACAAGAUACCAACAGCAUCCAAUAUGGCAGGGUAAUUCUAGAGCUUGCUUUGAUCUGUAUUCAGUUUUCCGGAGGCUCACAGUCACCAUGAAGGUGAUGGGCAAGGGCUCUAGAAGCUGCGCGUUAUGGCAGAUAAGGAUCCAGGGACUUCAGUUCAGUUCUUCACCAUGGUUUAACUUCGAUCCAUGCAAAUGACUGCAGGGUGCGGGACCUGAAAUUCUCAACCAUGCAAGCAUAUCUUUGUUAUUGUCAUUAUAGCAUUUAUGAUAUUGAAAGAAUCAUGCCGUUAUAAUUUAUCAUGUCAUUAAAAUAUGUUCCAAACCUUUAAAACUAAUUGUUAACCAACUAGUAAGUUAUUAGCUAGAUUAGCUGGCUAAUUAUUGAUUGGGGUGUUUUAAACUUACAGUUAAUAGUUUGUUCUGAUGAGCUAAUUGUACUUACUAUCUGUGAGGAGGCGAGAGACGGUGGGCUGCGCCGCCCAGCUUCAAUGGAAAAGCAGGCACAUCGAGGAUGGAACACAAUAACAACACAGGAAACAAUCGUAAAUCAAGGGUUAAUUUGGUGACAAGGGAAUCACGGAGGAUUCAAAGAAAUUAAGAUGAAAACAAACUAAUAUCUCUCCUUAAUCCUACUCAAUCUACUCGUAAUCUCUUAUCACUAAAUCAGCCCUAAAGGAAUGUGAUAGAAAGGGAAGUCAAAGAGAGAAGUAGAAAAAAUAAUAAAACAACAAGGCAUGCGAGAUGAAUAGAGACAAAAGAGAAAAACAAGAAUAAAAUAAAGAGGCAUGAGAGGAUGAGUAGUGAAAAGGAGAAAUAAAAAUUUUAAAUAAAGAGACAUACGAGAGGAAAAAUAAUAAAACAAAGAGGCAUGAGAGAUGUGUAGAUAAAAAAAUAGAACAAAGAGGCAUGAGAGAGGAUGAGUAGAGAAAGAAAAAAAACUAAGAUGCACGAGAGAGGAUGAAUAGAAUAAAGAAGAGAAAUUAAAAUAAAGAGACAUGUGAGAGGGGAAAUAAUAAAACACAGAGGCAUGAUAGAUGUGUAGAGAAAAAUAAAAUAAAGAGGUAUGAGAGAGGAUGAGUAGAGAAAAAAAUGGAUAAACAAAGAGACGUCAGAAAAGAUCGAGAAAGCUUUAAAGGGAAAAAAACAAAAAAAGAAAGCUUUAAAGUGAAAAAAAUAAAAAAGAAUCGCCCACCGUGGGGCAUGAUAGAUGUGUAGAGAAAAAUAAAAUAAAGAGGUAUGAGAGAGGAUGAGUAGAGAAAAAAAUGAAUAAACAAAGAGACGUCAGAAAACCUCGAGAAAGCUUUAAAGGGAAAAAUAAAAAAAGAAUCGCCCACCGUGGGGCUCGAACCCACGACCACAAGGUUAAGAGCCUUGCGCUCUACCGACUGAGCUAGACGGGCUUAUAUGUUUAUAGUCUCCAGUUAUUCUACAUGUUGUUAAGAACAUAGACAUAUUUGUUCUCCUUUAUUCUCAAGUGCUGCCGCUGUGUGUGAACUGUGAACGACUCAAGAAAGUGCUAGGUAUAGCAAUAUGUAUCCAAACCUAAUUACGUGAUAAAUAAAUAGACAGCAUGGAAACAUUUCUAGAGCCGCACAAGUAUGUCUGGACAUAAUAAUCCUCUACCGGUUACUAUCAAAUAGAGCAGGUGGCAAUCAAGGUUGCUAGGAUUAGGAUACUAGUUACUAUUGUUUUUUAGCUAUUAGUAUUGGAUUUCAUAAUUUAUGUAUUCUAUGUAAGAUUUGUAACAUGUUUACAGAUUGAAACAUAUAAUAUUGAUUUUGAUUAAUUUGUUUGAUCGUUAAUGCAUUGAAGUGCAGUUUUUGGUAUUAUUUCAACAACGUUUAACUUCUAAAUGAUACUUGGUUGUGUGGAGGCUAAGAGGUACGCUUUUGGUAGAUGGGGACCUCUAUUGGCAUGCCACUAGUAAAAACCUUUUAAGGUGCGUUUUUCAUAAGGAGACAGUGACAUACUCAUUGACAUCCAUACAGACGAGACGAGUGGAGUCGACAUUCACCGUCUCGCACGAUGACUAGUAAAGCCAUUCAGUAGAGAUUUUACUUGUCAACAAACAUAGGGAAUGCAAUUGAACUAGUAAGGGUGUGUUUAGUUGUAAUGACGCAAUGUGACGUAAUGGAAUGACCUCUUAGAUAAAGUUGUUUGGUUUAAGGUCACGAAUUACAAUAAAAUCAUAACAAUACUGUCCCUAGAUGUCCGUCAAAUUAGACGGACGAGAGGGGACACCGAGGGACAACUAUAAGAAUAUACAUAACAUGUCAAUUCUAUGCAAAAAAAAUCAACACACCUGUCUAAACACUAUAAUUGGUCCAUUUAUCCUAGCCCUUUGUAGUUCACCACAAAGAUAUCUAUAGCACCCGAAAAUUCAAAUCUAUAAAAAUUUCUCAAACUUUGUUCCAAAUUCAAAAUUAAUUCUUAAAUUGUAUUAUGAUGCAACUCUAAACUCUAGAUCAUAAAUAUAGUUAAAAUACAAUAGAUAUAGAAUUGUUUAUUGAUUUUUUUUUCAUUUAGCUUUUAGAGACCACUAUAACGCCUAGUUAACAGGGUUGUACCUAUCCAUUAGACUAUCUUCAGAAGCUUACCUAUGCCCAUACAUAUAUAAAAUUACACUAUAUAAACAGUGCAAUCUACAAUAUAAAACGAUACAAUAUAGUGUUUUUAGUGAUCAUAUAGGCAGUGGCAGAGCUCCGUAAAAAUAACGCCCCAGGUGUGGGGGACAGGUAUCCCCCGGGUCCACUAGAAGGAUAAAAGAUCUCACGAAAGGCCCAAAUGCCUCAUAAUUCGUAAGGUCAUCCCCUCAUGGGCCUGGGAGGAACGGACGGUGAGACAGAUCAGCACAAGGCUGGGUCGGUGCAAGCCUAGACGGCCCAACAACAUCUGAGCAAUAAUUGCAAGCAGUAACCCGACCUUCCCGCACAGGAGCCCCGUAUGUCGGAACUGGGCGAGGAUGAGUCGGCUGAACUAUAGGAAGAUAGACUCAGUUAGUUCUCUACAAUUCCGGCUCACGUUGUUAUCAUAUCCACAUGUAAUGCCCCACGGUCGAGUAUAUAAGGCCUAGGGGGCACCCCUUCAAGACGAUCGAUCGAGAGAGACAUCACUCGCCACUUAGCCAUCCACCCCGCUCUCUACGUUUUCCGACACUAGAGAGCUCCCUUGUAACCCACCGCAUAAAGCAUUCCAGCCAGGACGUAGGGUGUUACGCAUCUCAAAGCGGCCCGAACCUGUACACAAUUGUCCACUAUCUCUCGUGCAUUUAGCACGAACCAUCGAGCUACAGUCGAUCACAUCAUCCUACUCCAAAAAGCACCUUGAGGGGCAACCCCGGGUACGCGGUCGGACCCGAAACACCGACAGCUGGCGCGCCUGGUAGGGGGUGUGUCAUCGAUCCAAGCUAGCUCAAUGGUCGUCACCUUCCAGCACAAGAUCAUCCUCCGCCCCGGAUCCAUAUUCUGCUUCAGUACUAUCUCAUCUGUAGCGGAUGAGAAGGGAACUUUGCAUCGCCUCGCGGAUCCGCCGAAAAGAAAGCCUUCCUCAGAAGUCUCCAUGAAAAUCGGGGUGAGGCAGGAAGAAGUGCAACCUCUGGCGCUCCUAAAAAAGAUCACCUCCGGCAAGAUAGGGGCUGAGGGUCCCUCGGUCCGGAGAACUCCGCUGUCCACCUCUUCGACGAAAGAAUGGACACGAAUCACAAGGAAAAAGAAAGCAGAGGACCAUCAAGCUGAUCUUUCUGCACCUCUGCCCUCAAAGGAGAAUAGAAAGAAGAUCGUCGUGACAGCUACUCCAUUCUACCCUGACGUCCUCUUCAUCGGGAGAGCGGAGUCGCCCCCCGUCUCCGACGACGAGCCGACCGCACCCGAAGAGGAACCUCCUCAGCGGGAAUCCCACCGACGAAGGAACCGACGCCGAAAUAUCCGGCGACAUCACGAGGCCGGAGAGCGGGACCCGGCGUAGCCUGUAUCGCGAGACGAGGUCUCAGAGGUAGGAGAAACUCCGGAGGAACGUGUCUUCAGGGAAUGAAGGAAUUCCCGACGGCGUGAUCAUUGACGGGCUCAAGAACAAGCCGAGCAGGAGGCAAGGCAACGUCGGGAAAAUCCACUCUUCGGGCGCAACCUGAACCCCAACUUCGCCCGAGCCAUGAAUACGCCGAGUGAAGUCGGAGGGGUGCUGGCUCGGAUAGCUGAUGGCCUCCCUCGGACUCCCGACGCCGAGGGCUAUCGGCGACUGUUCACUCAGGCAGCCAAUCACCUUCUACUUCUCGCUCACCCGCCGAACGAUCUACGACACGCCAUCAACAGUCGCCGGGACACGCGAAGCUCCAUCAAUGCUUCGCGUGAACGACGACACGAGAACGAAAUCCGUCGACGAGAAGAGUACGACCGGGACCAUGGCAUCCCAGCACGGAGUCAAGCUACCAGGACCGAGUCGGCCAUGGCUUCAACUGGAGGCACCACCCGGGGACGGUCGAGGCACCACGACGAUCACUCCCCUCCCUGGGACAGACAACAUCAUCGACGCCAGGAGGACACGUGUGGAGUAUCGGUGCUUACUCCACGCCUCAGGGCCAUUCAAUGGCCCCCUAACUUCAAGGUAUCCAACGUCGACAAAUAUGAACCUAAGCAGGAUCCAGGAGGCUGGUUGGCCGUCUACACCACCGCUGCUCGAGUUGCUGGGGCGACCGAGGACGUAAUGACCGCGUACUUACCUAUUGUCCUCGGGCAAGACGCGCUGCAAUGGCUGCGACACCUACCCCAACAUUGCAUCGACGACUAGAGCGACUUCAGUCGACGCUUCACCGCCAACUUUCAGUCCCUCUCCGACAAACCGGCGCAACCAUGGGACCUCAAAUCCAUCAAGCACCGAGGGGACGAAACUCUCCGGUCGUACCUCAAAAGGUUCCAGACCAUGAGAAAUCGUAUCCCCGAGGUCGCGGAGGUGGUAGUGAUCGAGGAUUUGUACAGAGGAUCCAAUGACUUGGCCUUCGUCCGAACCAUAUUACAGAAGGCACCGACUACCUCUGAGCAACUGUUCCGGGAAGCCGACCUCUACAUCACCGCCGACGAGCGAGCUCAGGACCUCAUCGGAGGAGUAAAACCAUCACCAGUGGCACCGCGACGCGACACAAAUCAGCAGCCCGACAAGCGUUGGGAGAAGAGACCUCGCGAAGAAGUCCACGUCGCCGGACCACCUGCCUCUCGCGCCCGGGGAGGACCUCGUGGAGGCGAACGCACGCUGGACGACAUCCUCGACGCCCAGUGCUCGUACCACAAGGACAUGCGCCACACCCUUCGGAACUGUAGAGACUUCAAGCACUCCGUCGGGCACGGCCGACCUUUCCAACCUCUACCUCCUCCUCCGCCGCAGGGAGGACCAGGAGAACCGCAACAACCCCAGCAACAGGAGGAGGGAGGAGGUGGAGCCUUCCCGCGUGUCGACAGAGAGGUCAACGUCAUCUUCAGCGGACACGGAUCGCAGGAGAACAAGAAACAACAAAAUCUCAACGAUCGCCAAAUACUGGUGGCGACCACCGGUCCUCCCGCCCCAUACCGAUGGUCGGAGCACCCGAUCACCUUCACUCGGGCAGAUCAGUGGCUCAACUUCGACCACCUAGGCAAAUACCCGCUCCUCGUCGAUCCGGUGAUCCGAGAGAGCAGGGUGAAGAAGGUAUUAGUGGACGGGGGGAGCAGCAUCAACGUCACCUUCCCCCGGACGCUCCAAGGCUUGGGAGUUCACCUCAAAGAGCUCCACGAGUCAGAUACUCCUUUCUUCGGCAUCGUGCCGACUGAAGGAGAAUACCUGCUGGGCCACAUCUACAUGCUGGUCACCUUCGGAACUCCGGAGAACUACAGAACCGAGUUCCUAAGGUUCGAAGUGGCGAACUUCGACUGCGGGUACAACACCAUCAUCGGGAGGCCUGGAUUGGCGAAAUUCAUGGCCAUUCCGCAUCACACAUACAUGAUAUUGAAGAUGCCAGGGCCGCAAGGGAUCAUAACUGUGUGCACUGACUUCCAAGGCACCGCAGAAUGUUUCCGAGUGGCCAUCCAGGCGGCCCUGAGAGCACCUAGAGGGGGGGGGUGAAUAGGUGAUCCUGUAGAACUUAAACUUAUAGCCACAAAAACUUGUUAAGUGUUAGCACAAUAAUCGCCAAGUGGCUAGAGAGAAGGUUUUGCACAAUACGAUAAUCACAAAGAAUUCAACACAGAGAAGACACAGUGAUUUAUCCCGUGGUUCGGCCAAGUACAAAACUUGCCUACUCCACGUUGUGGCGUCCCAACGGACGAGAGUUGCACUCAACUCCUCUCAAGUGAUCCAAUGAUCAACUUGAAUACCACAGUGUUAUGCUUUUCGUUUCUUAUCCCGUUCGCGAGGAAUCUCCACAACUUGGAGCCUCUCGCCCUUACACUUUUGAUGUUCACAAAGAAUCACAGAGUAAGGAAGGGAAGCAACACACACAAAUCCACAGCAAAAUGCGCACACACACGACCAAGAAUUGAGCUCAAAGACUAUCUCAAAGUUCUCCCUAGAACGGAGCUCGAAUCACUUAGAAUGACAAACGAAUGCGCAAAGACUGAGUGUGGAUGAUCAAGAAUGCUCUAAGGUUGCUUGUGUGUCUCCUCCAUGCGCCAAGGGGUCCCUUUUAUAGCCCCAAGCCAGCUAGGAGCCGUUGAGAGCAAAUCUGGAAGGCCAUCCUUGCCUUCUGUCGUCGGGUGCACCGGACAGUCCGGUGCACACCGGACAGUGUCCGGUGCCCGAUUUCCUUCCUUAAUUGGCGAAGCCGACCGUUGGCAGACUUGGAGCCGUUGGCGCACCGGACAUGUCCGGUGCACACCGGACAGUCCGGUGCCCCCUUCUAGCCGUUGGCUCGGCCACGUGUCCCGCGCAGAUCGCGCGGCCGACCGUUGGCCCGGCCGACCGUUGGCUCACCGGACAGUCCGGUGCACACCGGACAGUCCGGUGAAUUUUAGCCGUACGCCGUCGGCAAAUUCCCGAGAGCGGCCUCUUCGCCCGAGGCAGCCUGGCGCACCGGACACUGUCCGGUGCACCACCGGACAGUCCGGUGCCCCAGACCGAAACAGCCUCUUGGCUGUAUACAGCCAACUCUUCUCUUUUCUUCUUCUUUCUGUUUCUGAUACUUAGACAAGUAUAUUAGUACACAAAACCAAUGUACUAUGACUUAGAAACAUACCUUUGCUCUUGAUUUGCACUUUGUUCAUCCAUGGGCAUAGAUUCACAUUUAAGCAUUUAUGUUGGCACUCAAUCACCAAAAUACUUUAGAAAUGGCCGAAGGGCACAUUUCCCUUUCAAUCUCCCCCUUUUUGGUGAUUUAUGCCAACACAACAUAAAGCAACUAGAACAAGUGCAAAAUCACUUCAAAUAAAAUAAAUUUGAGUUUUAUUCAAUUUUGGCAUAUAUGGAUCAUCCUUUGCCACCACUUGGUUUGUUUUUGCAAAUCAAACUCAAAUCUCUAUCUCUAAGUCAAACACACAUGUUGAAGCAUAAAGAGAGUCAUUCCAAAAGAGAUUGAUCAAAGAUUUCAAAAACUCCCCCUUUUUCCCAUAAUCACUACUUCUCCCCACAAGAAGCCAACUUUUGACAAAAGAGACAACAAAAGAGUUUUGACAAAAAGAGUUUUGACAAAAACAAAAGCUCUACUCUACUAUUUUCAAAACUCUCAAGUGGUAGCUGAUCCAUUUAUUGCUUUGGCCUUUAUUUUCUCCCCCUUUGGCAUCAAACACCAAAACGGGAUCAAUCUUGGCCCUUUAACCCCAUUGCCUCACAAAAGUCUUCAAUAAGAAUACAAAGGCAAUAAGAGUACAUGAGAUGAACUUGGAAUAGGUUACCCUCUAACCGGAGUGCAGUGGAAGUCUUUCAUGGUCCAAGUCCACCUGUUCCCUUUCAAUCCUUCUUUGAGGCUAAAACAACCAAACUCAAGCAUAUGGUUAGUCUCAAAGGGUCAAGUUGUAACAUCUCUCCCCCUAAACAUGUGCAUCACUUUGCAACGAACUUGUGAGGUCCAGGGAGUGUUUGUACAACUUGAGCACCACAAUAAGCAACAAAAUGCAGAAUGAACAUGAUCAAAGGCAUAAACACAUGUAUGCUACAAUUCAAUCCAAGUUCCACGAAUCUAAGACAUUUAGCUCACUACGCAACCUGCAAAAGGUCUUCUCAUCUAGAGGCUUGGUAAAGAUAUCGGCUAGCUGGUUCUCGGUGCUAACAUGAAACACUUCGAUAUCUCCCUUUUGCUGGUGGUCUCUCAAAAAGUGAUGCCGGAUGUCAAUGUGCUUUGUGCGGCUGUGCUCAACAGGAUUUUCCGCCAUGCGGAUAGCACUCUCAUUAUCACAUAGGAGUGGGACUUUGCUCAGAUUGUAGCCAAAGUCCCUGAGGGUUUGCCUCAUCCAAAGUAGUUGCGCGCAACACUGUCCUGCGGCAACAUACUCGGCCUCAGCGGUGGAUAGGGCAACGGAAGUUUGUUUCUUAGAGUUCCAUGACACCAGGGACCUUCCUAAGAAUUGGCACGUCCCCGAUGUACUCUUCCUAUCGACCUUACAUCCAGCAUAAUCGGAAUCUGAGUAUCCAACCAAGUCAAAGGUAGACCCCUUUGGAUACCAGAGCCCGAAGCAAGGCGUAGCAACCAAAUAUCUAAGAAUUCGCUUCACCGCCACUAAGUGACACUCCUUAGGAUUGGAUUGAAAUCUAGCACACAUGCAUACGCUAAGCAUAAUAUCCGGUCUACUAGCACAUAAAUAAAGUAAAGACCCUAUCAUUGACCGGUAUGCUUUUUGAUCAACGGACUUACCUCCUUUGUUGAGGUCGGUGUGUCCGUCGGUCCCCAUCGGAGUCUUUGCGGGCUUGGCGUCCUUCAUCCCAAACCGCUUUAGCAGAUCUUGCGUGUACUUCAUUUGGGAGAUGAAGGUGCCGUCCUUGAGUUGCUUCACUUGGAACCCAAGGAAGUAGUUCAACUCGCCCAUCAUCGACAUCUCGAAUUUCUGUGUCAUCACCUUGCUAAACUCUUCACAAGACUUUUGGUUAGUAGAACCAAAUAUUAUGUCAUCGACAUAAAUUUGGCACACAAACAAAUCACCAUCACAUGUCUUAGUAAAAAGAGUUGGAUCGGCUUUCCCAACCUUGAAAGCAUUAACAAUUAGAAAGUCUCUAAGGCAUUCAUACCAUGCUCUUGGGGCUUGCUUAAGUCCAUAGAGCGCCUUAGAGAGCUUACACACGUGGUCGGGGUACCGUUCAUCCUCGAAGCCAGGGGGUUGCUCCACGUACACCUCCUCCUUGAUUGGCCCGUUGAGGAAGGCGCUCUUCACAUCCAUUUGGUACAACCUGAAAGAAUGGUGAGCGGCAUAUGCUAGCAAGAUACGAAUUGAUUCUAGCCUAGCCACAGGAGCAAAUGUCUCCUCAAAGUCCAAACCUGCGACUUGGGCAUAACCUUUUGCCACAAGUCGAGCCUUGUUCCUCGUCACCACCCCGUGCUCGUCAUGUUUGUUGCGAAACACCCACUUGGUUCCCACAACAUUUUGCUUAGGACGAGGCACUAGUGUCCAAACUUCAUUGCGCUUGAAGUUGUUGAGCUCCUCUUGCAUGGCCAAUACCCAAUCCGGAUCUAGCAAGGCCUCCUCUACCCUGAAAGGCUCAAUAGAAGAGACAAAGGAGUAAUGCUCACAAAAAUUAACUAAUCGAGAUCGAGUAGUUACUCCCUUGCUAAUGUCACCCAGAAUUUGGUCGACGGGAUGAUCCCUUUGAAUCAUCGCUCGAACUUGGGUCGGAGGUGCCGGUUGCGCUUCUUCCUCCAUCACGUGAUCAUCUUGUGCUCCCCCUUGAUCACACGCCUCCUGUUGAUGAACCUGUUCAUCGUCUUGAGUUGGGGGAUGCACCAUAGUUGAGGAAGAAGGUUGAUCUCGUUCAUCUUGUUCCUGUGGCCGAACAUCUCCAAUCGCCAUGGUUCGUAUAGCGGCCGUCGGAACAUCUUCUUCAUCUACAUCAUCACAAUCAACAACUUGCUCUCUUGGAGAGCCAUUAGUCUCAUCAAAUACAAUGUCGCUAGAGACUUCAACCAAACCCGAUGAUUUGUUGAAGACUCUAUACGCCUUUGUAUUUGAGUCAUAACCUAACAAAAACCCUUCUACAGCUUUGGGAGCAAACUUAGAAUUUCUACCCUUCUUUACUAGAAUGUAGCACUUGCUCCCAAAUACACGAAAGUAAGAUACAUUGGGUUUGUUACCGGUUAGUAGCUCAUAUGAGGUCUUCUUGAGGAGGCGAUGAAGGUAGACCCUGUUGAUGGCGUGGCAAGCCGUGUUCACGGCUUCCGUCCAAAAACACUCGGGGGUCUUGAACUCUCCUAGCAUCGUCCUCGCCAUAUCGAUGAGCGUCCUGUUCUUCCUUUCUACCACACCAUUUUGUUGUGGUGUGUAGGGAGCGGAGAACUCGUGCUUGAUUCCUUCUUCCUCAAGGAACUCCUCCACUUGAAGGUUCUUGAAUUCGGACCCGUUGUCGCUCCUUAUCUUCUUCACCUUGAGCUCAAACUCAUUUUGAGCUCUCCUUAGGAAGCGCUUGAGGGUUCCUUGAGUUUCAGACUUAUCCUGCAAAAAGAACACCCAAGUGAAGCGGGAAAAGUCAUCAACAAUAACUAGACCAUACUUACUUCCCCCUAUACUCAGAUAGGCGACUGGUCCGAAGAGGUCCAUAUGCAGCAGCUCCAGAGGUCUUGAGGUGGUCAUCACAUUUUUGCUGUGAUGUGCUCCUCCCACUUGUUUACCUGCUUGACAAGCUGCACAAGGUCUAUCUUUUUCGAAUUGUACAUUAGUCAAACCUAUCAUGUGUUCUCCCUUUAGAAGCUUGUGAAGGUUCUUCAUCCCCACAUGUGCUAAGCGGCGAUGCCACAGCCAGCCCAUGCUAGUCUUAGCUAUUAAGCAUGCAUCUAGACCGGCCUCUUCUUUUGCAAAAUCAACUAAAUAAAGUUUGUCGUCUAAUACACCCUUAAAAGCUAGUGAACCAUCACUUCUUCUAAAGACAGACACAUCUACAUUUGUGAAUAGACAGUUAUAUCCCAUAUUGCAUAAUUGACUAACCGAUAGCAAAUUAUAUCCAAGAGACUCUACUAAAAACACAUUAGAGAUAGAGUGCUCAUUAGAAAUUGCAAUUUUACCUAACCCUUUUACCUUGCCUUGAUUCCCAUCACCGAAUAUAAUUGAAUCUUGGGAAUCCUUAUUCUUGACGUAGGAGGUGAACAUCUUCUUCUCCCCCGUCAUAUGGUUUGUGCAUCCGCUGUCGAUAAUCCAGCUUGAACCCCCGGAUGCAUAAACCUGCAAGGCAAAUUUAGGCUUGGGUCUUAGGUACCCAACUCAUGUUGGGUCCUACAAGGUUAGUGCAAAUAUCCUUAGGGACCCAAAUGCAAGUUUUGUCUCCCUUGCAUUUUGCCCCUAACUUCCUAGCAACUAUUUUCCUAUCCUUUCUACAAAUAGCAAAGGAAGCAUUUAAAGCACAAUAAAUUGUAGAAGGUUCAUUCACUACUUUCCUAGGAGCAUGAAUAAUAUUCUUUCUAGGCACAUGAGUAGCAUUUCUCCUAGACAUAUUUCUACCAUGCAUAUAGGAAGAACUAGACGCAAACAUUGCAUGAGAGUCAAAAUCAUCAUAAGCAUUAUAAUUCCUAUAAGCAUUUCUCGUUUGUCUCCUAUCAUGAUACAUAAAAGCAUGGUUCUUUUGCACACUACUAGCCAUAGGGGCCUUCCCUUUCUCUUUGGCGGGAAUGGGAGCCUUAUGGCUUGUUAAGUUCUUGGCUUCUCUCUUGAAGCCAAGUCCAUCCUUAAUUGAGGGGUGUCUACCAACCGUGUAGGCAUCCCUAGCAAAUUUUAGUUUUUCAAAAUCACUUUUGCUAGUCUUAAGUUGGGUAUUAAGACUAGCCAAUUCAUCAUUAAGUUUUGAAAUUGAAACUAGGUGUUCACUACAAGCAUCAAUGUCAAAAUCUUUACACCUAGUGCAAAUCACAACAUGCUCUACACAAGAUGUUGAUUUACUAGAUCUUUCUAGUUUAGCAUUUAAAUCAUCAUUUGUGCUCUUUAAACUAGAAAUUGAAUCAUGACAUGUAGACACCUCACAAGAAAGCAUUUCAUUUCUCUUAAUCUCUAAUGCAAGUGAUUUUUGCGCUUCUACAAAUUUGUCAUGUUCUUCAUACAACAAAUCCUCUUGCUUUUCUAGAAGCCUAUUCUUAUCAUUCAAGGCAUCGAUUAAUUCAUUAAUUUUAUCUAUCUUAGAUCUAUCUAAGCCCUUGAAUAAGCAUGAAUAGUCUAUGUCAUCAUCAUCACUAGACUCAUUAUCACUAGAAGAAGCAUAAGUGGAGUCUCGAGUACUCACCUUCUUCUCCCUUGCCAUAAGGCAUGUGUGACACUCGUUGGGGAAGAGGGAUGACUUGUUGAAGGCGGUGGCGGCGAGUCCUUCAUUGUCGGAGUCGGAGGAGGAGCAGUCCGAGUCCCACUCCUUGCCUAGAUGCGCCCCGCCCUUUGCCUUCUUGUAAUUUUUCUUCUUUUCCCUCUUGCUCCCGUGUUCCUGAUCACUUUCAUUUUCGGGACAGUUAGCAAUAAAAUGACCAAUCUUACCGCAUUUGAAGCAUGAGCGCUUCCCUUUUGUCUUGGUCUUGCUUGGCUGCCCCUUGUGACCCUUAAGCACCGACUUGAAGCGUUUGAUGAUGAGAGCCAUCUCUUCAUCAUUAAGUCCGGCCGCCUCAAUUUGUGCCACCUUGCUAGAUAGCGUCUCCUUGCUUCUUGUUGCUUUGAGAGCAAGAGGUUGAGGCUCAUUGAUUGGACCGUUUAGAGCGUCGUCGACGUAUCUCGCCUCCUUGAUCAUCAUCCGCCCGCUUACGAAUUUUCCGAGUACCUCCUCGGGCGUCAUCAUCGUGUACCUGGGAUUCUCACGAAUAUUGUUUACGAGAUGAGGAUCAAGAACGGUAAAGGACCUUAGCAUUAGGCGGACGACGUCGUGGUCCGUCCAUCGCGUGCUUCCAUAGCUCCUUAUUUUGUUGAUAAGGGUCUUGAGCCGGUUGUAAGUUUGAGUUGGCUCCUCUCCCCUUAUUAUUGCGAAUCGUCCAAGCUCGCCCUCCACCAACUCCAUUUUAGUGAGCAUGGUGAUGUCAUUCCCCUCGUGAGAGAUCUUGAGGGUGUCCCAUAUCUGCUUGGCUUGUCCAAGCCGCUCACCUUAUUGUACUCUUCUCUGCACAAAGAUGCUAAUAGAACAGUAGUAGCUUGUGCAUUUCUAUGGAUUUGUUCAUUUAUAAGCAUAGGGCUAUCCGAGCUAUCAAAUUUCAUUCCAUUCUCUACAAUCUCCCAUAUGCUUGGAUGGAGAGAGAAUAGGUGACUACGCAUUUUGUGACUCCAAAAUCCGUAGUCCUCCCCAUCGAAGUGUGGAGGUUUGCCAAGAGGAAUGGAAAGCAAAUGCGAAUUCGAACUAUGUGGAAUACGAGAAUAAUCAAAUGAAAAGUUUGAAUUGACCGUCUUCCUGUAGUCGUUGUCGUCGUCCUUUUGGGAGGAGGAAGAUUCAUCGCUGUCGUAGUAGACAAUUUCCUUGAUGCGCCUUGUCUUCUUCUUCCUCCCGUCUUUUCUUUUGUGGCCCGAGCCUGAGUCGGUGGGCUUGUCAUUAUUGAGCUCGUUGAUGAAGGUCUCCUUCUCCUUGUCGUUGAUCACCAUCCCCUUGCCCUUAGGAUCCAUCUCUUCGGGCGGUUAGUCCCUUUCUUGAAGAGAACGACUCUGAUACCAAUUGAGAGCACCUAGAGGGGGGGUGAAUAGGUGAUCCUGUAGAACUUAAACUUAUAGCCACAAAAACUUGUUAAGUGUUAGCACAAUAAUCGCCAAGUGGCUAGAGAGAAGGUUUUGCACAAUACGAUAAUCACAAAGAAUUCAACACAGAGAAGACACAGUGAUUUAUCCUGUGGUUCGGCCAAGUACAAAACUCGCCUACUCCACGUUGUGGCGUCCCAACGGACGAGAGUUGCACUCAACUCCUCUCAAGUGAUCCAAUGAUCAACUUGAAUACCACAGUGUUAUGCUUUUCGUUUCUUAUCCCGUAAGCGAGGAAUCUCCACAACUUGGAGCCUCUCGCCCUUACACUUUUGAUGUUCACAAAGAAUCACAGAGUAAGGAAGGGAAGCAACACACACAAAUCCACAGCAAAAUGCGCACACACACGACCAAGAAUUGAGCUCAAAGACUAUCUCAAAGUUCUCCCUAGAACGGAGCUCGAAUCACUUAGAAUGACAAACGAAUGCGCAAAGACUGAGUGUGGAUGAUCAAGAAUGCUCUAAGGUUGCUUGUGUGUCUCCUCCAUGCGCCAAGGGGUCCCUUUUAUAGCCCCAAGCCAGCUAGGAGCCGUUGAGAGCAAAUCUGGAAGGCCAUCCUUGCCUUCUGUCGUCGGGUGCACCGGACAGUCCGGUGCACACCGGACAGUGUCCGGUGCCCGAUUUCCUUCCUUAAUUGGCGAAGCCGACCGUUGGCAGACUUGGAGCCGUUGGCGCACCGGACAUGUCCGGUGCACACCGGACAGUCCGGUGCCCCCUUCUAGCCGUUGGCUCGGCCACGUGUCCCGCGCAGAUCGCGCGGCCGACCGUUGGCCCGGCCGACCGUUGGCCCGGCCGACCGUUGGCUCACCGGACAGUCCGGUGCACACCGGACAGUCCGGUGAAUUUUAGCCGUACGCCGUCGGCAAAUUCCCGAGAGCGGCCUCUUCGCCCGAGGCAGCCUGGCGCACCGGACACUGUCCGGUGCACCACCGGACAGUCCGGUGCCCCAGACCGAAACAGCCUCUUGGCUGUAUACAGCCAACUCUUCUCUUUUCUUCUUCUUUCUGUUUCUGAUACUUAGACAAGUAUAUUAGUACACAAAACCAAUGUACUAUGACUUAGAAACAUACCUUUGCUCUUGAUUUGCACUUUGUUCAUCCAUGGGCAUAGAUUCACAUUUAAGCAUUUAUGUUGGCACUCAAUCACCAAAAUACUUUAGAAAUGGCCCAAGGGCACAUUUCCCUUUCAGGCCCUCACCACCAAACCGUCGGUGACUUCUUCCGCGCAGGCAAACUCUAAGCCUGAGGAAGACCUCGCGGUACCCGCGAACGAGGCUCAAGCUGCGACCUCUAUGCGGCCGACUGAAGAAACCAAAAGAGUCAACCUUGGGUUCACUGAUGAACGCAAAACCACCACCAUCAGCUCCAGCCUGGAUGACAAAUAGGAAGGCGCGCUCGUCCAGUUCCUGCAAGAUAACCGAGACGUGUUCGCAUGGCAACCUGCGGAUAUGGCGGGAGUCCCAAGAGAACUGGCCGAGCACAAAUUAAAAGUCUACCCCCAGGCGAGGCCGAUCCGGCAAAAGUUGUGUCGUUUCACGCCCGACAAGAGAGAGGCCAUUCGCGCUGAGCUGGCUCGCUUGGUCGCGGCUGGAUUUAUUAGAGAGGUGUUACAUCCCGAGUGGUUAGCCAACCCUGUUCUUGUACUCAAAAAGAAUAAAGUGGAUUGGCGCAUGUGUGUCGACUAUACGGAUCUCAACAAACACUGUCCAAAGGAUCCCUUCGGGCUCCCUAGGAUAGAUCAGGUGGUAGAUUCCACCGCUGGAUGUUCUAUGCUGUCCUUCUUGGAUUGCUACUCUGGGUAUCAUCAGAUUAGCCUGGCGAAAGAAGACGAGGAAAAAACAGCGUUCAUCACUCCAUUCGGUGCUUUCUGCUAUACCUCCAUACCGUUCGGCCUCAAAAACGCUGGAGCGACUUAUCAGAGAGCUAUUCAAACAUGCUUAGCCGAUCACUGGGGCAAGCGUGUGGAAGCUUAUGUGGACGACGUGGUCAUCAAAACAGAAAAUUCGGAAAAUUUCAUUAAAGAUUUACAGCUGGUUUUCAACAGUCUACGACGAUAUCGAUGGAAGCUUAAUCCCGAAAAAUGUGUUUUCGGGGUACCAGCAGGAAAGUUACUCGGGUUUAUUAUCAGCCACCGGGGAAUUGAAGCUAAUCCAGAAAAGAUCGAAGCUAUCAUGAGGAUGGAGGCACCGCGAUCACAGAAGAAAGUUCAAAGACUUACCAGAUGUAUGGCAGCCCUGAGCAGAUUCAUAUCCAUGCUGGGAGAAAAAGGCUUACCAUUUUAUAAGUUACUCAAGAAGGUGGACAAGUUUUAGUGGACUUCAGAAGCACAGGAAGCCCUAGACGCAUUGAAAAAGUUCUUGACAACACCACCAGUGCUAAAACCACCGCGUCGAGCCACGCCGACUCAACCAGCUGAAGAGCUGUUGCUAUAUAUCUCUUGCACGACUCACGUGGUGAGCACCGCGUUGGUAGUCGAGCGAGCAGAAGAAGGGCAUGCAUACCCAGUACAACAUCCUGUUUAUUUCAUCAGUGAAGUUCUGGGUCCCUCGAAGAAGAAAUACCCUCAAGUUCAGAAGCUAUUAUAUGCAGUACUUCUAACUGCACGCAAGCUCCAUCACUACUUCGACGACCACAAAGUCAUAGUAGUCACGGGAUUUCCGAUAGGAGAUAUUCUUCACAACAAAGAAGCCAUCGGGAGAAUAGCUAAGUGGGCCUGCGAGCUGGGAUCUCAUGACAUCGAAUUUCGACCUCGCACUGCCAUUAAAACUCAAGCACUAGUUGACUUCGUAUCAGAGUGGACCGAACAACAAGUACCAGAUAACCCAGAAACCGCAGAAGUAUGGCGAAUGUAUUUUGAUGGCUCGUUAAAACUGCAGGGAGCAAGCGCAGGGAUCCUCUUUACCGCACCUGGAGGCGAGCACCUCAGAUAUGCCCUUCAGUUGUUAUUUCCAGCCUCUAACAAUGCAGUAGAAUAUGAAGCUCUGAUUCAUGGACUAAACAUUGCUAUAUCACUGGGCAUCAAGAGACUGAUGGUAUACGGAGAUUCUCUGGUAGUCAUAAGUUAGAUAAAUAAAGAAUGAGAUUGUUCGAGUGACUCAAUGGGAAAAUACUGCACUGCCGUCCGGAAACUAGAAGAUAAAUUCGAAGGUCUGGAAUUUCACCAUGUAGAAAGAGAUUGAAACAUGGCAGCUGAUGUAUUGUUUAAGCUAGGAUCCAGUCGAACUCAGGUCCCACCGGGAGUCUUUGUUCAAGAAAUACCACACCCAAGCAUCUCACUGGAUCAAGCAGAAGAAUGUAAUACUGAAAGGGAAUUAGGCUUACACCUAGUCCCUAUAUAAUUUUGGUGGUUGAAUUGCCCAACACAAAUAAUUGGACUAACUAGUUUGCUCUAGUGUAUAAGUUAUACAGGUGAUAAAGGUUCACACUUAGCCAAUAAAAAGACCAAGAGUUGGGUUCAACAAAAGAGCAAAGGGUCAACCGAAGGCACCUCUGGUCUGGGAGCACCGGACUGUCCGGUGUACACCGGACAGUGUCCGGUGCACCACCGGACAGUGUCCGGUGCACCAGAGGACUCCAACGCAAACUCGCCACCUUCGGGAAUUUCUGAGGCGACUCCGCUAUAAUUCACCGGACUGUCCGGUGUACACCGGACAGUGUCCGGUGCGCCAAGAAGGAGCGGCCUCAGGAACUCGCCAGCUUCGGGAAUCUCCAACGGCUAGUUCGCUAUAAUUCACCGGACAUGUCCGGUGUGCACCGGACUGUCCGGUGCAACUCCGGAGCAAUGGCUACUCGGCGCCAACGGCUACCUGCAGCGCAAUUAAUGCGCGCUCUGCGCGCGCAGAAGGCAGGCGCGCCCAUACUGGCGCACCGGACAAGGAACAGUAGAUGUCCGGUGAGGCGGGCCCAGAAGUCAGAAGCUCCAACGGUCAGAAUCCAACGGCAGUGAUGACGUGGCGGGGGCACCGGACAUGUCCGGUGUGCACCGGACUGUCCGGUGCGCCAUCGAACAGACAGCCUCCCAACAGCCACUUUUGGUGGUUGGGGCUAUAAAUACCCCAACCACCCCACCAUUCAUUGCAUCCAAGUUUUCCUCUUCCUAACUACUACAAGAGCUCUAGCAUUCAAUUCCAGACACACCAAAGAGAUCAAAUCCUCUCCAAAUUCCACACAACGCCAUAGUGACUAGAGAGAGUGAUUUGCUUGUGUUCUUUCGAGCUCUUGCGCUUGGAUUGCUUUCUUCUUUCUUGAUUCUUUCAUUGCGAUCAAACUCACUUGUAAUUGAGGCAAGAGACACCAAACUUGUGGUGGUCCUUGUGGGAACUUUGUGUUCCAAGUGAUUGAGAAGAGAAAGCUCACUCGGUCCGUGGGAUCGUUUGAGAGAGGGAAGGGUUGAAAGAGACCCGGCCUUUGUGGCCUCCUCAACGGGGAGUAGGUUUGCAAGAACCGAACCUCGGUAAAACAAAUCCGCGUGUCACACUCUUCAUUUGCUUGCAAUUUGUUUUGCACCCUCUCUCGCGGACUCGUUUCUUUAUUACUAACGCUAACCCGGUUUGUAGUUGUGUUUAUAUUUGUAAAUUUCAGUUUCGCCCUAUUCACCCCCCCCCCUCUAGGCGACUAUCAAUUGGUAUCAGAGCCCGGUGCUUCAUUAGAGCCUAACCGCUCGAAGUGAUGUCGGGAGAUCACGCCAAGAAGGAGAUGGAGACCGGCGAAAAGCCCACUACAAGCCACGGGAGCACUUCAUCGGAAGAGUCCCGCACCAAGAGGAGGGAGAAGAAGAAGAGCUCCUCCAACAAAGGCAAGGAGAAGAAAUCUUCUUCUCACCAUAAAGAGAAGAAGGAAAAAUCUUCUUCCCACAAGCCGCAUCGAAGUGGGGACAAGCAAAAGAGGAUGAGGAAAGUGGUCUACUACGAGACCGAAACUUCAUCAACAUCAACCUACGACUCCGAUGCGCCCUCCGUAACUUCUAAACGCCAAGGGUGUAAGAAGUUUAGUAAGACCCCCCUACACUAUCCUCGCAUUUCUAAACAUGCACCUCUACUUUCCGUUCCAUUAGGCAAACCACCAACUUUUGAUGGUGAAGAUUAUGCUAGGUGGAGUGAUUUAAUGCGAUUUCAUCUAACCUCACUCUACAAAAGUAUAUGGGAUGUUGUUGAGUUUGGUGCACAGGUCCCGUCGGUAGGGGAUAAAGAUUAUGAUGAGGAUGAGGUGGCCCAAAUCGAGCACUUCAACUCUCAAGCGACAACAAUACUCCUCGCCUCUUUAAGUAGAGAGGAGUAUAACAAAGUUCAAGGGUUGAAGAGCGCCAAGGAGAUUUGGGAUGUGCUCAAAACCGCGCACGAGGGGAGAUGAGCUCACAAAGAUCACCAAGCGGGAAACGAUCGAGGGGGAGCUCGGUCGGUUCCGGCUUCGCAAAGGGGAAGAGCCACAACACAUGUACAACCGGCUCAAGACCUUGGUAAACCAAGUGCGCAACCUCGGGAGCAAAAAGUGGGACGACCACGAAAUGGUUAAGGUUAUUCUAAGAUCCCUCAUUUUCCUUAACCCCACUCAAGUUCAAUUAAUUCGUGGUAAUCCUAGAUAUACUAUAAUGACCCCCGAGGAGGUUAUCGGGAAUUUUGUAAGUUUUGAGUGCAUGAUCGAAGGCUCGAGGAAGAUCAACGAGCUUGAUGAUCCCACCACAUCCGAAGCUCAACCAGUCGCAUUCAAGGCGACGGAGGAAAGGAAGGAAGAGUCUACACCAAGUAGACAACCAAUCGACGCCUCCAAGCUUGACAACGAGGAGAUGGCGCUCGUCAUCAAGAGCUUUCGCCAAAUCCCCAAACAAAGGAAGCGGAAAGAUUACAAGUCCCACUCCAAGAAGGUUUGCUACAAGUGUGGUAAGCCCGGUCACUUUAUUGCUAAAUGUCCAUUAUCAAGUGACAGUGAUAGGGAUAACGACAAGAAGGGGAGAAGAAAGGAGAAGAAGAAGUAUUACAAGAAGAAGGGCGGUGAUGCCCAUGUUUGUCGGGAGUGGGAUUCCGACGAAAGCUCAAGCGACUCCUCCGACGACGAGGACGCCGCCAACAUCGCCGUCACCAAGGGACUCCUCUUCCCCAAUGUCGGCCACAAGUGCCUCAUGGCAAAGGACGGCAAACGGAAGAAGGUUAAAUCUAACUCCUCCACUAAAUAUGAGUCCUCUAGUGAUGAUAAUGCUAGAGAUGAGGAGGAUAAUUUGCGUAUCCUUUUUGCCAACCUCAACAUACAGCAAAAGGAGAAACUUAAUGAAUUGAUUAGUGCUAUUCAUGAAAAGGAUGACCUUUUGGACACUCAAGAGGACUUCCUUAUUAAAGAAAAUAAGAAGCAUGUUAAGGUUAAAAAUGCUUAUGCUCUAGAAAUUGAGAAAUGUCAAAAAUUAUCUAGUGAGCUAAGCACUUGCCAUGAAACAAUAGGCAACCUUAGAAAUGAAAAUGCUAAUUUGUUAGCUAAGGUUGAUUCUCAUGUUUGCAAUGUUUCAAUUCCCAACCCUAGAGAUAAUAAUGAUGAUUUGCUUGCUAGGAUUGAAGAAUUGAACAUUUCUCUUGCUAGUCUUAGAUUAGAAAAUGAAAAUUUGAUUGCUAAGGCUAAAGAUUUUGAUGUUUGCAAAGUUACAAUUUCCGAUCUUAGAGAUAAAAAUGAUAUUCUACAUGCUAAGAUUGUUGAACUUAAUUCUUGCAAACCAUCUACAUCUACUAUUGAGCAUGUCACUAUUUGUACUAGAUGUAGAGAUAUUGAUAUCAAUGAUAUUCAUAAUCAUAUGGCUUUAAUUAAACAACAAAAUGAUCAUAUAGCCAUAUUAGAUGCUAAAAUUGCCGAGCAUAACUUAGAAAAUGAAAAGUUUAAAUUUGCUAGAAGUAUGCUCUAUAAUGGGAGACGCCCUGGCAUCAAGGAUGGCAUUGGCUUCCAAAGAGGAGACAAUGUCAAACUUAAUGCCCCUCCUAAGAAAUUAUCUAACUUUGUUAAGGGCAAGGCUCCCAUGCCUUAGGAUAACGAGGGUUACAUUUUGUACCCUGCCGGCUAUCCUGAGAACAAAAUUAGGAGAACUCAUUCUAGGAAGUCUCACUCUGGCCCUAACCAUGCUUUUAUGUAUAAGGGUGAGACAUCUAGCUCUAGGCAACUAACCCGUGCUAAGUUGCCUAAGAAGAAAACUCCUAGUGCAUCAAAUGAUCAUGAUAUUUCUUUUAAAACUUUUGAUGCAUCUUAUGUGUUGACUAACAAAUCCGGCAAAGUAGUUGCCAAAUAUGUUGGGGGCAAGCACAAGGGGUCAAAAACUUGUGUUUGGGUACCCAAAGUUCUUGUGUCUAAUGCCAAAGGACCCAAAACCAUUUGGGUACCUAAAGUCAAGAACUAAACUUGUUUUGUAGGUUUAUGCAUCCGGGGGCUCAAGUUGGAUACUCGACAGAGGGUGCACAAACCACAUGACAGGGGAGAAGAAGAUGUUCUCCUCCUACGAGAAAAACCAAGAUCCCCAACGAGCUAUCACAUUUGGGGAUGGAAAUCAAGGUUUGGUCAAAGGUCUUGGUAAAAUUGCUAUAUCUCCUGACCAUUCUAUUUCAAAUGUUUUUCUCGUAGAUUCUUUAGAUUACAAUUUGCUUUCCGUAUCUCAAUUAUGUCAAAUGGGCUACAACUGUCUAUUCACUGAUGUAGGUGUCACUGUCUUUAGAAGAAGUGAUGAUUCAAUAGCAUUUAAGGGAGUGUUAGAGGGUCAGCUAUACUUGGUAGAUUUUGAUAGAGCCGAACUCGACACCUGCUUAAUUGCUAAGACUAACAUGGGCUGGCUCUGGCAUCGCCGACUAGCACAUGUUGGAAUGAAGAAUCUUCACAAGCUUCUAAAGGGAGAACACAUUUUAGGACUAACAAAUGUUCAUUUUGAGAAAGACAGGAUUUGUAGCGCAUGCCAGGCAGGAAAGCAAGUUGGCGCCCAUCAUCCACACAAGAACAUCAUGACGACCGACAGGCCGCUUGAACUACUCCACAUGGAUCUAUUCGGCCCGAUUGCUUACAUAAGCAUCGGCGGGAGUAAGUAUUGCCUUGUAAUAGUGGAUGAUUAUUCUCGCUUCACUUGGGUAUUCUUUUUGCAGGAAAAAUCUCAAACCCAAGAGACCUUAAAGGGAUUCUUGAGACGGGCUCAAAAUGAGUUCGGUUUAAGGAUCAAGAAAAUUAGAAGCGACAACGAGACAGAGUUCAAGAACUCUCAAAUCAAAGGCUUUCUUGAGGAGGAGGGAAUCAAGCAUGAGUUCUCUUCUCCCUACACCCCUCAACAAAAUGGUGUAGUGGAGAGGAAGAAUCGAACUCUAUUGGACAUGGCAAGAACCAUGCUUGAUGAGUACAAGACUUCGGAUCGGUUUUGGGCCGAGGCGGUCAACACCGCUUGCUACGCCAUCAACCGGUUAUAUCUACACCGAAUCCUCAAGAAGACAUCCUAUGAACUCCUAACCGGUAAAAAGCCCAAUAUUUCAUAUUUUAGAGUCUUUGGUAGCAAAUGUUUUAUUCUUGUUAAAAGAAGUAGAAAAUCUAAAUUUGCUCCUAAGACUGUAGAAGGCUUUUUACUAGGAUAUGACUCAAACACAAGGGCAUAUAGAGUCUUUAACAAGUCCACUGGACUAGUUGAAGUCUCAUGUGACGUUGUGUUUGAUGAAACUAACGGCUCUCAAGUAGAGCAAGUUGAUCUUGAUGAGAUAGGUAUUGAAGAGGCUCCAUGCAUCGCGCUAAGGAACAUGUCCAUUGGGGAUGUGUGUCCUAAGGAAUCCGAAGAGCCUCCAAAUGCACAAGAUCAACCAUCCUCCUCCAUGCAAACAUCUCCACCGACUCAAAAUGAGGAUGAGGCUCAAGUUGAUGAAGUAGAAGAUCAAGCAAAUGAGCCACCUCAAGAUGACUGCAAUGAUCAAGGGGGAGAUGCAAUUGAGGAAGACAAGGAGGAUGAAGAACAAAGACCGCCACACCCAAGAGUUCACCAAGCAAUUCAACGAGAUCACCCCGUCGACACCAUCCUCGGCGACAUUCAUAAGGGGGUAACUACUAGAUCUCGUGUUGCACAUUUUUGUGAGCAUUACUCUUUUGUUUCCUCUAUUGAGCCACACAGGGUAGAGGAAGCACUCCAAGAUUCGGAUUGGGUGGUGGCAAUGCAAGAGGAGCUCAACAACUUCACUAGGAAUGAGGUAUGGCAUUUAGUUCCACGUCCUAAUCAAAAUGUUGUAGGAACCAAAUGGGUCUUCCGCAACAAGCAAGAUGAGCAUGGUGAGGUGACAAGGAACAAAGCUCGACUUGUGGCGAAAGGAUACUCCCAAGUCGAAGGUUUGGAUUUCGGUGAAACCUAUGCACCCGUAGCUAGGCUUGAAUCAAUUCGCAUAUUAUUGGCCUAUGCUACUUACCAUGGCUUUAAGCUUUAUCAAAUGGACGUAAAAAGUGCCUUCCUCAAUGGACCAAUCAAGGAAGAGGUCUAUGUUGAGCAACCUCCCGGCUUUGAAGACAGUGAGUACCCUAACCAUGUCUAUAAGCUCUCUAAGGCGCUUUAUGGGCUCAAGCAAGCCCCAAGAGCAUGGUAUGAAUGCCUUAGAGAUUUUCUUAUUGCAAAUGGAUUCAAAGUCGGAAAAGCCGAUCCUACACUCUUUACUAAAACUCUUGAAAAUGACUUGUUUGUAUGCCAAAUUUAUGUUGAUGAUAUUAUAUUUGGGUCUACUAACGAGUCUACAUGUGAAGAGUUUAGUAGGAUUAUGACACAGAAAUUCGAGAUGUCUAUGAUGGGGGAGUUGAAGUAUUUCUUAGGAUUUCAAGUGAAGCAACUCCAAGAAGGCACCUUCAUUAGCCAAACGAAGUACACUCAAGAUAUUCUAAGCAAGUUUGGAAUGAAGGAUGCCAAGCCCAUCAAGACACCCAUGGGAACUAAUGGGCAUCUCGACCUCGACACGGGAGGUAAGUCCGUGGAUCAAAAGGUAUACCGGUCGAUGAUCGAUUCAUUACUCUAUUUAUGUGCAUCUCGACCGGACAUUAUGCUUUCCGUUUGCAUGUGUGCAAGAUUCCAAAUCGACCCUAAGGAAGCUCACCUUAAGGCCGUAAAACGAAUCUUGAGAUAUUUGGCUUAUACUCCUAAGUUUGGGCUUUGGUAUCCUAGGGGAUCCACAUUUGAUUUGAUUGGUUAUUCGGAUGCCGAUUGGGCGGGGUGUAAAAUCAAUAGAAAGAGCACAUCGGGGACUUGCCAGUUCUUGGGAAGAUCCUUGGUGUCUUGGGCUUCAAAGAAGCAAAAUUCGGUCGCUCUUUCCACCGCCGAAGCCGAGUACAUUGCCGCAGGCCAUUGUUGCGCGCAAUUGCUUUGGAUGAGGCAAACCCUGCGGGACUACGGUUACAAAUUAACUAAAGUCCCUUUGCUAUGUGAUAAUGAGAGUGCAAUCAAGAUGGCGGAUAAUCCCGUCGAGCAUAGCCGCACUAAACACAUAGCCAUUCGGUAUCAUUUUCUCAGGGAUCAUCAACAAAAGGGAGAUAUCGAGAUUUCUUACAUUAAUACUAAAGAUCAAUUAGCCGAUAUCUUUACCAAGCCACUUGAUGAACAAUCUUUUAACAAACUUAGGCAUGAGCUCAAUAUUCUUGAUUCACGCAAUUUCUUUUGCUAGAUUGCACACAUAGCUCAUUUCUAUACCUUUGAUCAUGUCUCUUUCCUAUGCUAUGACUAAUGUGUUUUCAAGUCUAUUUCAAACCAAGUCAUAGGUGUAUUGAAAGGGAAUUUAAAGUCCUCGGCGAAGACAAAGGCUUCCACUAUGUAACUCAUCUUUCGCCGUCACUCCAAGCAACCCUCCAUUCUUGGGAGAAAAAGCAUGAGCAUCAAAGAAAAGGACUUCGUCUUUGGGGGAGAGAGUGAAAGAGCCCAAAGCAAAAGACCGGACUUCGUCUUUGGUAUAAUCUUAACUCAUUCAUUUAUGACCAAAGGGGAAGAAAGCACUUUGUGGGCUCUAAUAAUUCCGUUUUUGGCGAUUCAUGCCAAAGGGGGAGAAAGUAAGAGCCCAAAGCAAAAGGACCGCACCACCACCAAUUUCAAAAACUUUGUGUUUCCAAGGAUAUUAUCAAUUGGUUUUCCUAUUGUGUUCAAAAGGGGGAGAAAGUAGUAUUUCAAAAAUUAUCAAAACCCUCUUGAACACUAAGAGGAGGAUCUCAUUUAGGGGGAGUUUUGUUUAGAAGCAUUUGACACAGGAGGAGAAAAUUUCAAAAUCUCGAAAAUGCUUUGCAAAAUCUUAUUCAUUUAUCUUUGACUAUUUGCAAAAGAACUUUGAAAAGGAUUUACAAAAAGAGUUUGCAAAAACAAAACAUGUGGUGCAAGCAUGGUCCAAAAUGUUAAAUAAGAAAGAAACAUUCCAUGCAUAUCUUGUAAGUAGUUAUAUUGGCUCAAUUCCAAGCAACCUUUACACUUACAUUAUGCAAACUAGUUCAAUUAUGCACUUCUAUAUUUGCUUUGGUUUGUGUUGGCAUCAAUCACCAAAAAGGGGGAGAUUGAAAGGGAAUUAGGCUUACACCUAGUCCCUAUAUAAUUUUGGUGGUUGAAUUGCCCAACACAAAUAAUUGGACUAACUAGUUUGCUCUAGUGUAUAAGUUAUACAGGUGAUAAAGGUUCACACUUAGCCAAUAAAAAGACCAAGAGUUGGGUUCAACAAAAGAGCAAAGGGUCAACCGAAGGCACCUCUGGUCUGGGAGCACCGGACAGUGUCCGGUGCACCAGAGGACUCCAACGCAAACUCUCCACCUUCGGGAAUUUCUGAGGCGACUCCGCUAUAAUUCACCGGACUGUCCGAUGUACACCGGACAGUGUCCGGUGCGCCAAGAAGGAGCGGCCUCAGGAACUCGCCAGCUUCGGGAAUCUCCAACGGCUAGUUCGCUAUAAUUCACCGGACAUGUCCGGUGUGCACCGGACUGUCCGGUGCAACUCCGGAGCAACGGCUACUCGGCGCCAACGGCUACCUGCAGCGCAAUUAAUGUGCGCUCUGCGCGCGCAGAAGGCAGGCGCGCCCAUAAUGGCGCACCGGACAAGGAACAGUAGAUGUCCGGUGAGGCGGGCCCAGAAGUCAGAAGCUCCAACGGUCAGAAUCCAAUGGCAGUGAUGACGUGGCGGGGGCACCGGACAUGUCCGGUGUGCACCGGACUGUCCGGUGCGCCAUCGAACAGACAGCCUCCCAACGGCCACUUUUGGUGGUUGGGGCUAUAAAUACCCCAACCACCCCACCAUUCAUUGCAUCCAAGUUUUCCUCUUCCCAACUACUACAAGAGCUCUAGCAUUCAAUUCCAGACACACCAAAGAGAUCAAAUCCUCUCCAAAUUCCACACAACGCCAUAGUGACUAGAGAGAGUGAUUUGCUUGUGUUCUUUCGAGCUCUUGCGCUUGGAUUGCUUUCUUCUUUCUUGAUUCUUUCAUUGCGAUCAAACUCACUUGUAAUUGAGGCAAGAGACACCAAACUUGUGGUGGUCCUUGUGGGAACUUUGUGUUCCAAGUGAUUGAGAAGAGAAAGCUCACUCGGUCUGUGGGAUCGUUUGAGAGAGGGAAGGGUUGAAAGAGACCCGGCCUUUGUGGCCUCCUCAACGGGGAGUAGGUUUGCAAGAACCGAACCUCGGUAAAACAAAUCCGCGUGUCACACUCUUCAUUUGCUUGCGAUUUGUUUUGCACCCUCUCUCGCGGACUCGUUUCUUUAUUACUAACGCUAACCCGGCUUAUAGUUGUGUUUAUAUUUGUAAAUUUCAGUUUUGCCCUAUUCACCCCCCCUCUAGGCGACUAUCAAAUACCUUGAGCCAACCAGAGCCAGAUUCUGAUGACUGGAGGAAGCCGAUCAUCAAAUAUAUAAAAAAUGAGGAGGAGCCAGAUGACAAGAAUACAGUUGAGCGCAUCGCAAGACAAUCAGCUCACUAUACACUCAUUGGGGAAACACUAUACAGAAGGGGUGCAUCAGGAGUCCUCAUGAAAUGCAUUCUCUUAGCCACUGGAAAGCAACUUCUGGAUGAAGUCCAUGCUGGGCAAUGUGGAGUACACGCAGCAUCCAGGACCCUAGUUGGGAAGGUUUUCAGGUCAGGUUUCUAUUGGCCAACAGCGAAGAGUGAUGCAGCCGAGUUAGUCCAGAGGUGUGAAGCUUGCCAGUACCUGUCAAAACAGCAGCAUCUACCAGCACAACAGCUGCAGACUAUACCCAUAACUUGGUCGUUCGCGAGCUGGGGAUUGGAUAUGAUUGGACCUUUCAAAAAAGCUCAAGGAGGAUACACUCAUGUACUGGUGGCUAUCGACAAAUUCACUAAAUGGAUAGAGUUCAAACCUAUUGCUUCUCUAACUUCAGCUAAGGCAGUGGAAUUCAUACAAGAUAUAAUAUUUAGGUUCGAGAUACCGAAUACCAUCAUAACCGACCUAGGAUCCAACUUCACCAGUUCGGAAUUCUUCAAUUUCUGUGAGCAAAAGAGCAUUCAGAUCAAAUAUGCCUCGGUGGCACAUCCAAGGGCCAACGGGCAAGUAGAAAGAGCUAACGGGAUGAUAUUAGAAGCACUCAGAAAGAAAGUCUUUGACAAGAACGAGAAAUUCGCAGGAAAAUGGAUCAGAGAACUGCCAUACGUAGUCUGGAGCCUGAGAACUCAACCCAGCCGAGCUCUGCAUGGAAACACCCCCUUCUUUAUGGUUUACGGUUCGGAGGCAGUGCUACUUGCCGAUCUCAAGUUCGGGGCACCAAGGUUAAUCUUUGAUGACAUAGCAGAAGCUGAAGCCACUAGGCUAGAAGACGUUGACGUACUCGAAGAAGAGCGACUGAAUACGGUGAUUCAAUCAGCGCGAUAUCAGCAAACUCUGAGGCGCUAUCAUGAUAAGACCAUACAGCGUCGAUCCUUCGCAGUGGGAGAUCUCGUCCUCCACCGAAUUCUAAUGGGGGAGGGACGACAUAAAUUGUCACCUCUAUGGGAAGGACCAUUCAUAGUAGCAGAAGUCACUCGGCUGGGAUCAUAUUGCCUUACUCAGAUGGACGGAACAGAAAUUGGGAACUCAUGGAACAUAGAGCAUCUCAGGAAAUUCUACCCGUAGCUACAUCACGGAGGCUCUCGGAACGACGAUGUAUUCUGUAAAUUGAGAAAAAUAUCAUCAAUAAAAAGGUUUCAAAGGCGCUCAGAUUGUUCACUGUCAAUUGACACGCAUACUUGACUCAGGGUGACCACUAUGCCCUGCUAACGGAGCAAUCGACUUAAGUCGGCAACGACUUAAGGCGGUGCGACAUGCUCACGCAUACUUAACUCUGGGUGACCACUAUGCCCUGCUAACGGAGCAAUCGACUUAAGUCGGCAACGACUUAAGGCGGUGCGACAUGCUCACGCUUACUUAACUCGGGUGACCACUAUGCCCUGCUAACGGAGCAAUCGACUUAAGUCGGCAACGACUUAAGGCGGUGCGAUAUGCUCACGCUUACUUAACUCGGGGUGACCACUAUGCCCUGCUAACGGAGCAAUCGACUUAAGUCGGCAACGACUUAAGGCGGUGCGACAUGCUCACGCUUACUUAACUCGGGGUGACCACUAUGCCCUGCUAACGGAGCAAUCGGCUUAAGUCGGCAACGACUUAAGGCGGGGCAACAUGCUCACGCAUACUUAACUCAGGGUGACCACUAUGCCCUACUAACAGAGCAAUCGGUUUGAGUCGGCAAUGACUUAAGGCGGUGCGACAUGCUUAUACUUAUCUAAAACUCGGGGUGACCACUACGCCCCACUAGCGGAGCAGUCGGUUUAAAUUGAUGCUAAUUUAAAUCGGCGUUGCGCGCUUGGCAUGUUCGCAAUCACCCGACUUAAGGCAACUUCUGUGCCCCAUGAUGAAAUUUCGAAAUCACCACACUGCAUUUACUUCUACAAAUGCAGAUACUAUUGAAUUCUAAACAAUAGGAAAACAAUAGUAGCAUUCAGCACUAAAAGGUGUCCUCUAACAAAACAUCCAAGCACGUUAACCACGCGUUCAAAACAUCCAAUGUUUUUAUAUUUUGCAAUGUUCUUCUCAGGAGCAACCGAUGAAGAGGGGCGACUUGAGGAAUCAGGAGCAGCAUUCACGUCAGCCCUUAUGUCGUCAGGAACAACCACACCAGGUCUCCUCAUCAGAAUCCGCCCCGCGCGAAUGGCUUUAUCCAUAGCUUUAUCGCGCUGGGCCCUCAGAGUAGCGGAAGUCUCUUCAGCAACCUUGACAGUCGACCGAGCGGUCUCUAGCUCCUGGGCGACGGCUUUCUUGGAAGCACGCAGAUCCUUAAUGACAUCAUCUUUGGUCGAUACCAACUACCUGAGGCGAAUCACGUCAUCCAAGGAUUCCUGCAGCUUAUAACGAUGAUUGUCUAACUCCUCCCUGGUGAAGCGAUGACUCCUCUCCAAGAUGGUCAACGAGUUGCUGGAGUCACGUUAUAGCCUGUCAAGAUUGUCACGAGAAGUAACGAGGGCACGUUUUUCUUCCUGCAAACAAGAAUCAGCUUCUUCAAACGUCAAGCAAGCAAUAAGAACACAGCAAAACAAAGCCCGGAUUCAUAGGUCACCUUUUCAGAGUCGAGCUGAGCGCAGAGGGUAGAGUUCAGCGUGUUAGCAUCAUUUAGAGAAGCAGAAACCCCGGCCUGUUCAGUCUGACCUUGAGAAUACUUUUCCUCGAGAUCAGAGCACCACCGGGCCAGUUCAGCUUGACCUCGAGAAUGAUUUUCUUCAAGAUCAGAAAGUUGUCGAGCCAAAGAAACAGUCAAGCAAAGGUGUUAAAAUAAGAAGCAGUUUAAUCAGGUAGCCAAAAAGAAGCAAAAGAGCACUGACCAGCAUUUGUCGCCUCUAAGUCAGAAACACGCCGCUGGAGCAGCACCGGAUUCCAACGCGCCAGAGACAAAGCUCCUUCUGGGACAGAAGCACCCUGCAACUUCAGCCGACUAGACAUCUCAUCGACCAACGUCUGGCAUUAAAAAGCAUACAAGCGUCAGAACAAUCAUCUGCCUAAGUAAAAGUUAGACCAGAAGAAACCAAAAUACCUGGAGGUUGGAGAAGAAUGAGGGAACCCCCAGGUCGUGAGAGGUCAAUUGAUGGCUCGGCGAAGGGUCACCAACCGGAACAACUCGCAACGAAUCAGCAACAACCAAUUCAGUGUUAUCAGCAGAAGUCAGAACUCUGGCAUUAGGUGUGUUGGCCUCUAAAGCGACUCCUCGAUCCAAGGCUGGAGCUAUCGCCAUGCAACCAGAGUGUGGAGGAGAAGACCCUAUGUGAACAUCCAUGGAAGUAUGGGAGGGAGAACCCACUCGGACACCCUCGGGGGCUGGGUCACAGCUUGCGCUACCCAUCCGAGCCGGAUCAUCCCCGGCAACACCCUCGGGGGCUGGGUAAGCGCCAGCACCAUCUGUUGGGGACUUGUUCUCAAAUGCUAAGAGUUAAGAACAAGGCAACAUAAAAAGUGUUAAGUGUUAAAGUCCUUCGUCCUUCGAAGCAUUAUGUCCCUUCGGGAAAUAAUGAGUUUCGGACGAAGGUCAUAAGAGACAUACCUUCGUAAACAUAACAAGUAAUGACGAAGGAUUCAUAUAAAGCAUGAAAUAUAAUAUAAGCAUCAUCAUAGAAUCAUUUCUAUUUUAUUAACAUGGAAAAAUAGAAAUGAUUUCAAAUUACAAAUGUACCUUCGGUCCUGAGAGAAGAUAAAAAGUACAAGCGUGACGCAAAAGCAAAUGCCAAGUCCGCGUGAACAGUACGGGAGUACUGUUCAUCUAUUUAUAGACGCGGGACGCAGCCUACGUAAAAUUACAUUUAUGUCCAUUACAUUUGUCAAUGACUUAUGGAAAUCUGACAAGGUCCACGUAGUCUUUUCAUCUUUAAGUCGGUUCCCCUCUCUGCUAUCGCGACGAAGCUUCCCUGCGCACAGCUUCGGCUGUGCACCAUCCUUCGUGGAGCUUGGUAAUCAGCCCGUCCUUCGUCUGGUUCAGGCUUCGUCCUGACCGCACUUCAUGUUCGUAAUUCUGAGUCCGAAGGUACCUGUUCACAUAAUCCACUUGGAAAACAUUGUCAAAUCAUGUUUUUGAGGACCUUCGGAGGACGAAGGCCCCCAACACCAUCCUUGAGGACCGAGUCCUCUGCAGCAGCCACCUCUAAGGCUGAAGGUCCCUCAGUCACUUCCAUGGGAGCAGGGCAAUCUAAACCAGCUUCCUGACCCUCAAGACCGCGCUCCAAGGUCGAUGAGGCACGGGACGCUGCCUGGGAUGACCCCAACCCGGCAUCGAGCACACCAGCGCAAACAUCCAUCGCGCCACCAUCCGCCGGUUCUGAUAACAGAUCUUCCAAAAUCAUGUCUUCAAGAGUUUGAUCAAAGUUCGCCAGAGAUAAUUCUUGCAGACCAAUGAGGGCAGGCAAGGCAGGAGAAGGAACACCACUACUUCCCCACUAGCUAUGUAACGCCGGCUGUUCUUCCGAAUCAGAGGGAUCUCGUCCUCUUCUUCAUCAUCCUCAUCAACAACAUGGACAUCACACCCAUUGGGGUCAGCGUCAGACGGGUCACACCCAUUGGGAUCAGCUUCAGUAAAUUCAGGCACUGGCACUUCCUCAGCAACAGGAGCAGAAGGACCGGCAUCCUGAUCCAAGCUAGACACCUGACGAAGACGUCUCUUCUUCUUUUUCUUCCCCUCAACAGGAAAAGAGGCUUGAUCGGCUCGGCAAGAACGUUUCAGACGAACAUUGACAGACUUCUGAGCGUCUAAAGCUUUGUCAGCCUCAGGGAUGGGCGCCACCACCAAUGUUUCAGCAGGAGCGGCAUCAGAGGAAUCCUCGGCCAACAUAUCAAGCAUGACACUUAUCUCUGCAUCACUUGGAUUCAAAGGCACCUCAAAAUGAACCUGCCACUCGUUGUCAGGAAUUUCUCCGAGCGAGGCAACCAAAGCACUAACUUCUUCAGGAGAGGGUCGCACUCUAAGACCCAAACCGCUAUCACCAGCAGGAGGAUUUGACACGAAACUAUUAAAAGCCUGGGAAGGAGACAGAUUCCAGGCCGAGUAUGCAACAGGGGCAUCGAUGUUCGAUACCUUGCCUCUAAGUAUCAUCUCAAGCCGGCUCACUAAAUCCACGGCAGGAAUUCUUCUGUUGGUUACCCGGGUUGAGUCAGCCAAGCCUCGGUACAGAUAAGCAGGAUAUGCUCUGUCUUUUAGUGGCUGAAUGUUCUUGAAAACAAAGUCAGCGACCACAACUUCUGUAGUCAGACCCCUUUCUUUCAGCAACCCAACUUCUGCUAACAAACCCCCUGCUUCAGCCACUUCCUGGUCCAUGGAGGACUCGGUCCAGCUCGGAGUGCGAACAUCCGACUAUCUCCCUGACCGUGGGGGGGGGGGAAUUCCCAUGAUUCUCCACGAUAAACCAUUCCAGGUGCCAUCCCUUGAUGCUGUCCUUGAGGGGGAUGUCGAGGUAAUCAAUUUUCCUUCCGUGGCGCAUCUCCAAGCUCACGCCCCCCACCAGCUGGUGCUUCCUCCCGGCCAUCCCAGGCCGACAGUGGUACAGAUACUUCCAAAGGCCAAAGUGGGGCAAAACUCCAAGAAAUACUUCACAUAAAUGAACGAAAACAGAAACUUGCAGAAUGGAAUUUGGAUUCAGAUGGGUCAGAUUCAGGCGAUAGCAAUCAAGGAGACCGUGGAAGAAAGGAGAAAUGGGCAGAGCGAGCCCACAGAUGAGAAAAGGAACGUAAAUGACGGAUUCGUGGGUGUCCUCUGUCGGAACAGUGACCCCACGGCAAAUCCGCCAUGAGCAGAGCUCCUUCGGAGGAAGAACCCCGAUGGAAACGAGAUGAAGGAGGUCAGAUUCGGAGACAACAGACAUAUGGUUACCUGCGAAGGGCAACUGACUAUUGGGAUCAAUGGGGGGAAUGAUUGCGACGGACAAACUCGAAGCUUUCCGCUUAGGCGCCAUUUCAACCUCGCCGGCGAACGGAGCAGAAGCGAUAUUGCAGAAGAACAAAGAAAGCCUGGAUGCAAAAAGCUAAGCAAAAACUAGGGCACGGAGCGUGGAGGCGCGCGAUAGUAUAGUACAUAUGGGGUUUUCCCGGGCCAGAUGCCGUUUCCAAAAAGUGCCCAGUCAUCACCCAGCGGUUAUUUCUAAAACGCUGACGUGCCAUGUCAUUACUCAGCUGCUAUUUCUAAAGAAGCUGGUGCGCCAUGUCAUCACUCGGCCGUUGUUUCUAAAACGGCCGACGCGGCUCAAAUUGACUCAGUUGUUGUUUCUAAAAACGCUGUCAUUAUCUGACUCCACUCGGCUAUUACCUUCAAAGUAGCUGACGCGGUCUAAUUAUCACUCGGCUGCUACCUCUAAAGCACCGAUGUCGCCAGUAAUCGUUCGGCUGUUACCUCUAAAACACCGAAGUCGCCAGUAACUGCUCGGUCGUUAUUUCUAAAACACCGACGCAACCCCCGUUACUACUCGGCUGUUACUUCUAAAAACACCGACGUCGCCAGUAAUCGUUCGGCUGUUACCUCUAAAACGCUGACAUCGCCAGUAACCGCUCGGUCGUUAUUUCUAAAACACUGACGCGGCCCGUUAUCACUCGGCCAUCACCUUUAAAUUGCCCCGACAUCGCUGAUAAUCACUCGGCCACCACUACUAAAGCGCUGGCAUCGUGAGGAAGGCAGUCUGAGGCACGACUCAACGAUUCUAAGUUGCUACUUAAGCGUUACGUUUAGAAACAACCUCUGCAGAAGGCAUCAAUACAAACAAUGAUCAACAAGAAGACGAAAUGAUAUACACAAGAGGGAUCAAAACCAUUCUUCAUUAUAUGGGAAGUACCAUCGAACUUACAAAUCAACUCAUUAUGAGCUGAUGCUUUCCCUUCUACUACAUUACAUUUAACUAACUAUACUACUAGCUACUACUACAUUAUUUCGCUAAUAAUAUUUCUACUACUAAUCUACACUAACAUUUAAAACUAGUGGCAUCUAGCCACUGGCCUUGUUGCUGCCCUUGCUGCUGCCCUUGCUGACGCUACCGCCGUCGCCGCCGCCGGCCUUGCCGCUGCCGUCACCGCCCUUGCCGCUACCGCUGCCACCGUCACCGUCGCCUCCAUCGCCGUCGCCAUCACCGCCGUCGCCGCCGCUGCCCUCCUCGGACGAGUCGGAGGAGUCCUCCUCAUCCGAGGAGUACUCCGACUCAUCUGAGCCCUCGAGCCCGGCACGCUCGACGCCCUGGAUGUAGGUCCAUACCUCCGCGGCAAUCCCCUGAGAGUCGUCUGAAUCAUCAGACGACGCCGGGGGAGAGACAUGAGCCGGAAAGCCCUCGGACUCGAAGGAGAACUCCUCCUCCGAGUAUUCCGAGUCGCCGAAGUCCUCCGAGGGAGGAGUCGGCUCGCGCUUGCGCUUGUCACCCGAGUGAUGUGAAGAGCUGCCACCUUUCUUACUCUUGCCCAUGGUGGAAGUGGAAGGAAGGAGAGGAGAUGAAGCAGAAAGCAGUAGCAAGAAGCGUGAAAACGCUGGAGAAGUAGGAGCACUAUUUAUAGAAGAAGAAGGCAAACACUCACCUCCUACCACGACCACCGAACAGUCACAAAAAUUCAAUAUACAAUUCAAAUCGUCUGAAGACACGUCAGGCGGCUGACGCCGUUUCACGUAACACGACACCCAUUGGGACUCCAGUCAACUGCGUGGGCGAUAUGAUUACACCCGCGGUCACAUCAAGUUACUACUCAGAAGCAGUUUGCUAAAUGCUCAGCGUACCAAGCCGUCCCUUGCCUACACCCAUUGGGGGGGACGCCCAGAAAUUAUCAGUAUAUUUUCCAAAACUGUCACAUCCAUGCAGUAUACGCAAUGAAUACUCCAAGACAGAAAAGAGAUACCAGCAAGGAUCAAAGGAAAGCCAAAUAUAGCUGAUAAGGUACAAGUCUAAUCAACAGAAGCAUCAAAGCACGAAGUGAUAUGAAGACUAGUCAAGACCCAUCUAUCGAACGUCCAAUCAGUUGCAGAUCAAAUAAAUUGUCAGACCUAGCAAGAUAUGGGCAUAUCGUGUACUCGACUUCAAAAAUAAAAAUGUAUGCUGACCUCUGAAGCAUAACGUUGAUGACAUAAUACUGACCUCUAAGGCAUUCGACAAAAGAAAAGGAUGAUUCUCAGAAAAAAGCAAGAAAUGAAGACCUUCGAGUGGAUUAUUUUCAAAAAUCCACUCGAAGCUCGGGGGCUACACCCAUUGGGUGCACCUUCGGUGCACCCAAUGAAUCACCAUCCCCGAAGAAGCAAAAUGCUGACCUCUAAAGCACAAGGCAAGGCUGGCCUCUGAAAAAACACGAGUGGAAGAUGAAAAUGAUUUCUGAUAAUACCCGAAGUAAAGACCUUCGAGUGGAUUGUCUGCAAAAAUCUACUCAAAGCUCGGGGGCUACACCCAUUGGGAGCACCUUCGGUGCACCCAAUGGACUUCACAGGUCGACAGUGCAAAAUGCUGACCUUCGAGGCACAAACCCGAGACAUAACACCAAAAUUUUGAGGAAUAAUAGCAGGAGAAGACAAUAAAAAGAAGACAUGUUAACCGGAUCGCUCAGAUUUCUGAAGUAGUGGCCCGACAGACUUAUUUCCAAAAGCACUCCCUGACAAAAUCAAAUACCGCAAGCUGGACCUGGGAUCUUUGGGCCGUUUAUUUCAAAAGCAGCCCAAAGAUCGAGGGCUUGUGAGGGACAGAUAUCCCCCGGGUUCACUAGAAGGAUAAAAGAUCUCACGAAAGGCCCAAAGGCCUCAUAAUUCGUAAGGUCACCCCCCUCGUGGGCCUGGGAGGAACGGACGGUGAGACAGAUCAGCACAAGACCGGGUCGGUGCAAGCCUAGACGACCCAAUAACAUCUGAGCAAUAAUUGCAAGCAGUAACCCGACCUUCCCGCACAGGAGCCCCGUACGUCGGAACUGGGCGAGGAUGAGUCAGCUGAACUAUAGGGAGAUAGACUCAGUUAGUUCUCUACAAUUCCGACUCACGUUGUUAUCAUAUCCACAUGUAAUGCCCCACGGUCGAGUAUAUAAGGCCUAAGGGACACUCCUUCAAGACGAUCGAUCGAGAGAGACAUCACUCGCCACUUAGCCAUCCACCCCGCUCUCUACGUUUUUCGACACUAGAGAGCUCCCUUGUAACCCACCGCAUAAAGCAUUCCAACCAGGACGUAGAGUGUUACGCAUCUCAAAGCGGCCCGAACCUGUACACAAUUGUCCACUAUCUCUCGUGCAUUUAGCAUGAACCAUCGAGCUACAGUCGAUAACACCAUCCUACUCCAAAAAGCACCUUGAGGUGCAACCCCGGGUGCGCGGUCGGACCCGAAACACCGACACCAGGCCACUCUACAAAUAUAACGAUAUACUACUCCUCUUUUAAUUUUUCGUGUUUUAACGGUAGUAACAUUUAAAACAAUCCAGUGGAAUUGUGGCAGUAAGGGAAAGGGAAUCAGGAAUUCAGAAACAAUUAAUCACAAUAGAGGAUAAUCAUGAGCACAUGGCAGCGGGUAGUCAGCACUCAGCACACAGCGCUCGCCGCUCAGGUGGUCGUUGCCCAUUGGCCAGGGAGGCGCUCCGCCCUCGCCUAUGAAUAAGAAAAUAAAGGGAAUGAGGUUGAAGAAGUAUAGUUUGGGAGAAGAUAUAAUGGCAGGGGCGGAUUUGGGGGUGGCGUGGCGUCAGUGCAGGCCGCACGCGUCAUUGCUACAGGGUCGCAGGGAGACUGAAGGCGGACUAGCGGAGGUGGUGGCAGAUGCCUGAGUCAGAGCCUGCCCGGCCGCCUCAGAGGUUGCUGCCUUAUGCCCUUACCGGAUUUGUAGAGCCUGAAGGCGUGGAGAGCGAUAGAGGACUGAAUGGAGACGGCCGCGCCCCAAGCAAUAUAUGAAGCGCAGCCGCGCAGGUUUGCAAAAUAAUUGGAAGAACCUAUGUUCUCGUGACUUGAGCGACUGAGGGAGACCACUAGAGCCAGGCUCAAUCGGUGUAAGCCAGAGGUCUUUUGGGCCACAUUUUUUGGCUGAAAUGUAUUUUGGGCUAGAUUUUUUGGUUGAAAAAAAUCUGUAUGCAAGAGAAUUUUUGGGUUGCGCCUCCGCCAUGACACAGGUGGCCCGGGGCCCAAAUCGGUCUAUGCAUAUAGGUGCAAUGUAUAGUAUUUUAUUUAUAUGGUCAAAAAACAAAUUUUGUACUGUAGACAAUAUUAUUUGUAGAGUGUAGUUUGAAUAUGAGCAUGUGUAUGGAUAAGCUGUUGGGACGGUCUUAACCGCACAAGUGACAAAUCACGUUCAUCGGUGUCCACUCCAGUACUCCACUGGUCGUUGUCUCCACAAAUCCGCGUCAUUUGCAGCCAAAACCCUCGCCGUCUUGUCUCCCCCCGCCCCCGUCGCCCUCCCCGUGAUCAGAUCGAGAGAGCAGGCCCGAUUCAAUUCGACCCGAGGCGCCGCGGCCUGAAGGAAUUUCGCGAGUCGCCCGGAAAAAAAGCCCUAGCCAGAUCAGCGAUGGCAACGCACCCGGCGUCCCCGACCGCCGGCGCUGGUGGCGACAGGUCGCCGUCCGGCCCGCCGCCGGUGCGCCUGUCUGCGGCACAGGCGGUGGCGGCGAUCCAGCCUACCUCACCGCGGUACUUUUUCUCCUCGCUAGCCGCUGCCUCUGCCGCGGCGUCCUCCCCGCACCGCCGCAUCGGCAUCGCCGUCGACCUCUCCGACGAGUCCGCCUUUGCCGUCAAGUGGGCCGUUCAGAACUACCUCCGCCCCGGGGACGCCGUGGUGCUGCUCCACGUCCGCCCCACCUCUGUGCUCUAUGGUGCCGACUGGGGCUCCAUCCCGGUCUCCGUCGACGACGACCCCGACGUCGACAUCGCCGAGGGUGCGGUGCGCGCUGCGGCCGCUGAGGAGGAGCCUGAGGAGGCGAAGAAGAAGCGGGAGGAGGAGUUCGACUCCUUCACGUCCACUAAGGCGCAGGACCUUGCGCAGCCGCUGGUCGGCGCGCAGAUCCCCUUCAAGAUCCACAUCGUCAAAGACCACGACAUGAAGGAGCGCCUCUGCCUCGAGGCCGAGCGCCUCGGCCUGUCCGCGAUGAUCAUGGGCAGCCGGGGAUUCGGUGCCUCGCGCAGGGUCGGGAAAGGGAGGCUCGGGAGCGUCAGUGACUACUGCGUGCACCACUGUGUCUGCCCGGUUGUGGUUGUGCGCUACCCAGAUGAUGCCUUCGGGGAUGAGCUGCGAACGGUACCUGAAAAUGAGCCUGUGUAUCAUGCGGCGCCGGAGGCCCAGAAAGGUUCGUCCUAUAUUCCUAUUGCUUCGUCUUCUACUUAGCACUGUUUCAUCCAUUGGGCCUGUCCUAUUUAAUUUGUUUGUCGACUAGUUUCCAUGUAGAGAUUGAAUGCUUUCCAUGUAGGUCUGUCCUAUGUUUCAUGAAGUAGGGAAUGAAAUGCUUUGCGUAUUGGAGUGUGCUGAUGGUGAGGAUAAAUGAGAGAACAUUAGGCUAUUCUCAGCAGCUGCCGUAUCUGAGCUCACAGCGGCAAUUUGCGCAACCAAAAUACACUGUAGCACAUCCAACAGACUGCGGAUGUGGCUACGCAUCAGCUCACAUCGGCAAUUUGCGCAAUCAAAAUACACUGUAGGACAUCUAGCAGACUGCGGAUGUGGCUACGCAUCAUCUGCGCUCCCCUCCGUCGUGCCGCAUAUUCACGUGUUCUCUCUCCUCAUCGCAUUCUGCUGGAGCACCGCUUCAUUUUACGAGACGUGAAUGGUUCGCAUCCGGUAGCUACCGGAAUCAGCCUUACAUUAUAAAGUUUUAACUACUCUAGAAAGAAAUUUCCCCUUCAUCUAAAGAAAGCAAGAAAAUUUUAAAGUACUAAUCGUUUUUGCCUUUAUAUGCCAAUGUGACUGUCCAGCCUAAAUAUCUGGCCUUUUGGCAUAGUUUUGCAUAGAGGUUUAACUUUUUCAUUUUGACUUGACAAAGAAUGAAGCAAAAUAAAUUAACCCAGCUGCUACAUAGACAUUGUCAAAUUGAUAUCCUAAUGUUGUCUCCUGGUAUGAAAAUGAUCACACUAUACUCCCGUGAGCAUGAUGCCAUAAUGUGUGAAAUUAUAAUACACAUUGCUCGAUAUUCUCAUGUCAGCAAUGUUCUUUUUCUUGAGACAUUUAAUUCCAUGUGGGAUUGGUUCCUCGUUUUGUUUAAUUUAGUAGCACAAAAAAGUGCUAACUGUUGCAUGACUAAACAUGGAUUUUCUGUUUAUAUCCAAACGUACAUAGACUCUCCAUGAGGAGAAAUGUUCUUGCUCAACAUGUUCAAAGUUGAAUAGCUAUCAAAAGUGCUGGCUGCUUGACAUUACUAGUCACAUUUUGUUUUUCAUCAUUAUCCCUUGGAAAGUUAUGAUAAAAGCUGUUUUUAUCCCUUGGAAAGGAUAUAGUGAAGUAUUUACUUUGGUCUAUAAAAUUUAUGUCACCUCCAACCAGGGCCUAGACGAGACAGCCGCUGCAUGGUUAUAAAAGUUAAUUUAUAACCCUGCAAGGCGCGUGAAAUGUAAAGGCAACAACGCAACUGUAAAUAUAAAAUGCAUGCAGAAUGUAAAUAGCUUGAAUGUAAACAUCACCAGAAUGUUAGCUUGUUAUAUCUCCAGCAGCCUUCCCUGUCCCAUCUCUCAUUUUGAACUCCACUCUGUAAACAAUACCAAACAGUGUUUUGCUUGGCAAUAUGGACUAUCUACCGCAAAGCGCAAACGGCCGUAGUAGCAAGUAGGCUGCUUGUCUUGUUAGUUGGUGUAAAUAAAUAGAUAAAUAUUAAUAACAUGGAUGUUGCUUGUCUUGUUAGUCAGUGCAUAUAAAUAAAUAAAUGUUUUAUUGCUUCCUAGCAAUAUUUCACCAAUACCUCUGCCUCCUAACACAAUAACACUAGCAGUGCUCAGCAGCACCGUACGGCCAUACCAAUAUCUAUUUAGCUAGAGCACAUAUUCUACAACAUUUUGGAGAGAUCUGCUUAGUCCAUGCUCGUAGUCUGCUUGUGUGUGCUGAGCUCCAAUGCCUCGAAGUCCUAUUUAUACGGCGAGCAGGAUGAGGCAGUCUUUGCUGCCAGGAACGGAUGGCUGCUGUUAAAUUAAGUGACGCCGAGCAAGAAGCUACUUGUUUAGUCCAGUAAAUUGAUAAGACCGGUGAGGCGGUGACUAUUUUAGCAUCUGGUGAUGGUGAGUAUGCGAAGCUGGUGGAUAAUAUCUUUUGUUGCCUAUGACAAAUGGGGGCUACUCAUAUUUUAAUCAAUUACACCUAGUCCUCGCUCUCAUAUAUGAAUACAGCAGCAAACUGGCCCUUACUCCUGCUUAUCUACCCCAGUUGGGUCCCACUGAAACUUAACGGUUGUUGGUUUUAUCUUAAGCAAAGAGUAAAUAUUUGACAAAUUAAUGUGUCUAGAUUCUAGAACAAAUAUAGGCUCCACAAUUUCUUUAAUCAAAAUCAGCAACAUUGUUGCUUGCAUGCUUAUCACAUAUUCAUAAUAAACCAUGCACAAGGAAAGAGUUAAGAUAAACUCAUGUACACAAUUAUUUGUUCAAUUAGUAAGUGUAUGUCGUGAUGCACAUGUAAACUAUUUUUCUACUUUAUCAAAGAAAAUAAUUGCAAACUAGGUGUAACCACAAACCAUUUAUAUAACAUGAUCAUUAACCCACUUAAUUGAUAACAUGUGAAAAUAAUUUAUAAUAUGCUAUACAUAGACUACAAACAUAGUUGUCCAUGAUCCUCUUGGGCUAGAUUAGAAACCAACUCUGAUUAGAGUUUAGAGAUAAAACAAAUCAGGACUGCAACAUUCAGUUCAUUUAGUGUCAGAGUUGGUUGGGAUGUUGUAACCGAGUAGGAUUUCUCUUGUAAUAGGUGGCUCCUACCUGUUAAAUAUACGGCCUCAUCGACCCUAGAGGUCAAGACGAGCAAUUUAAUAUUCCGCUGAUGUGUUUCUUUCAUGGUAAUUAGAGUGACCUCCUCCAUCUAUUAGCUGAUGUCCUGACCAAGAACAUGUCAACAACAACCUCACCAGCUAGAUUCCAUGGCGUCAUCUAGCUCCACACUAACGAUGCCUCCUAGGGCAAAGCAUUGUUGUAAAGCUCAAAAAGACCAACUUUUGCUCUGGAAAGUGCAAGUUCUGCCCAUCCUUAGAGGUGCACAACUACAAGGCUAUCUAGAUUGCACGACUGUAAUGCCUGACAAGAUCAUCUCUGUUAAGCAGGAUGACAAGAUGAUCAAUGAUGUCAACCAAAAUACAUCCAAUGGGUCAUGCUCCAGCAGCAGGUCCUUGGCUUCCUCUUGACAUCCAUUACUCAAGAAGUCAUGAGUAAAGUUGCCUUCUACAAAACACCCCAUGAGGUGUGGUCAGAAGUGCAGAAGAUCUACGCGUUGUAGUCAAGAGCCUGGACCGUGAACACACGAAUUUCCCUAAUAACGAUAAGGUAAUAUGACAAUGGCUAAAUAUAUUGCCAAGAUGAAAUAUCUUACAGAUGAGAUGGCAUUUGCAAAGAAGACUGCUGGUGAUGAAGAACUCGUCUUGUACAUUCUGAUGGGACUUGAUGAUGGGUACAACCCGGUGGUCUUUACAAUGGUGACCCAUGUUGAGCAGGUCACUAUAGUUAAAGCCACCUCCCAGCUUCUCAACUAUGAUGCCAGGAUGGAUCUACUUCAUGGAGGUCAUCAAGCCUCUGCUAAUGCUACUGUCCGAAUGCGAAGAAACAACAACCGUGACCGCGGAUGUGGUCGAGACAGAGGGCAUGGUGGCUACCAAGGUCCAUCAUCAUCUUUGUUUGAUGGAUGUCCACAAGCUUGACACAUUGUCAGGACAGUAGUCACCCUUAUGAUGAGGGGAGUAACCGAGGAAAACACAUAAAGAGGAGCAAUGAGUGAGUUUAUGAGCGGUGGUGGAAAGGUUGGGUAGCAUCGACAGUCCAAAACACGGGGAUGAGGGAUCCAAAGAGAGCGAGAUGGGGUUUGAAAAUAUCAAGGAGGAGCGUAGCGGUGUUAAGCGCCAUGACCCAAUAUCUGGUGUUAAGGAGCGAACAACUUUAUUGAUGGUGCAAAGCAUACCUUCAACUUCACCAUUUGAGGCAAAGUAUAGGGGCAAGACAUACGAAGCUUGAUGUCAUUGGAGUGGAAGAAAGUGCAUGCACUUUGGUUGUCGAAUUUGUGGCCAUUAUCGCACUGGAUGCCCUGAAUGGGAACGUCGAAUUGUGUGGCGACAUAGGCAAAGAAAUAAGACAGGGUGGAAAAUGUCUUAGAUUCCAGUUGAGGGGGAAUGUCCUAUUAAGAGUGGUAGUGCCUGUGCAAAUAACGGGGAAAUAAGUAUAUUAUUGAGACGAAGUUGAUGUGGAAGAGUGGUAGUGCCUGUGCAAAUAACGGGGAGAAGCUUUCCAUUAUCGACAAUAGUAUUAGAGGGAAAAGAUGGAGGGCAUGGGAUGAGUAUACCAUAGUCAGAGGUCAUAUGGUUGGUGACACUAGAGUCGAAGUAUCAAAUAGUUUGUGGAGGUUGGUGGAGCGAUAUGGUCUGGAAACUGGCUGCAAGACUUUGCUGAUCCCAGCCCAGUGCAAUAGUAGGGUUGUACAAUUUUGCCGAUAGAAGGGCCCAUUGAUGGGUGUCGGCCCAUCCUGGUUGGUCUCUAGGUAGUAGCGUGGGGUGGAGUUGCUAGGCCUGGUGUUGUUGUUGGGCCUAACGAGGUGUGCGUGAGGGAGUUGUUGGGCCAAGUGUGCAUGUUGGGCUCCAGCGAUGAGGGCAUGACGAUGCAAGAGGGACGACAAUAGUGGGUCGUGCCACAUGUUGAUGGACCCGUCUAGGGUUCAUGAAAACUAGGCCACAACGUGGUUUGGUCCCUGGACAGACCAUCGAGCAGUGUGUCGUCCCACUUGGCUCCCUGCCGCGUUUGUCGCUGUCGUUGGAGGAGAGCAUUGUGUGGAAUGGUGGCCGAGGUAGGAGAGCUAUAGAGGUCUGAGGCGCAGGGACUGGUGGUCGAGCGUCGCUAGGGUUGGCGGCCUUGGCAUGAAGUGUGGUGGCUAUAGGAACUGCAUCUAUGGUGAGCUCUUCAAGGAGGUUGUAGCAAGUCUGCAAAAUAGGGGAAGGGGCAUCCACGAUGAAGAUGAAACCCGAUAGCUUCGAAAUUAUUGUUGAGAUUGGUGGACGUUGAGAACGUGGCUGUGGUUGGAACUGGGCUCGCCGAGGUCACAGAGGUGUCGGCCAUGCCUUUAAGGUUUGCAGCACUAGUCGGUGAUGUUGAGGAGCCCUUGUGUGAAGGUGUCAAAGGUGUCGUCGUCGAGGAAUAGAGCACGAAUUUCACGAUUGUCGUGGAAUUGUGACUCAAGGCCAAGCUAGGUGGCGUGGGCGCGAUGCUCGACGACGACAUCAGUGAGCUCGUCGGAGAUGGUGUUGAUGAUCCACAUCCACACGACGCAAUCCAUGCGGACCUAGUCGGGGGCAAAAACAUCAGAGAGGAAGUGGCCCUCAACGGAGUACCGAUCGACGGUGAGGAGGAACGCCUUGGGCCAGCGGGCGUAGAACGUCGAGGACGAGAGGCACACAAAUGUUCUACUAAACAAUAGCUUGAGCGUGGAGAUUGAGUGCGAUGGCCUCAUGACGAAGAAGGGCAUCGUAGAUCGGUAUAUGUGUGGCGCAUCGGCAACAGAGGCUUCGUCCUCAAGGUCGUUCCCAUCAAGGUUGGCGAGUCGUUCGUAGUCGGCUCAACCGCAGCACGUGCACGAGCGGCACGGUUCAGGGCGUAGUGGAUGCGAACAUCCAUGGUGUUGUGCUCAGCUUGGGCGAGGGCAGCCACACGCUUCUAAUAGCACGGGCGUGGGCGGCGCUGCGGGUGGCCUGGGCUGUGCGCUUGUGUUUCUCCUUGGUAAGGCGAGCAGCAUUGGUCUAUCGGAGAGCAGCGGCGUCCAGAUCGGUGAUGAUCGUGCUUGCGCUGGCGGCUGCGCUAGAAUUAGCAGCACUAGGAUGCUGCGCAGGAGGGUUGUCAACCAUAGCAGUCGGUGUGGCAGAUGACACACACGCAGGGUGCAGUGUCGGCGAGAAACCGAAGGCUAAACCUAGGUAAAUGACAUACUAAUGGAUUCAUUGAUUGAAUAUAGGCGAAGGACAUCUCGGUUCUUAUGGUAACCGAACCAAACAAGACCUUCCAUCUCUCUCUAACCAUAUACAGGGGUUGACCAGCUAUACCUGACACGUACCCAUACCAUAUACACACACAACAUAUAUGACAAUAUAACAUAUAUAAUGAUCAACCUGCUAUACCUUGCACGUAGCACCGUACCUUAUAUACACACAUCAUAUAUGGCAGUUUAACAGCGCUGUUUUUCCUUUAUGGGGUAUAAGUUUGCAAUAGCACGGGCUUAUAUGUAAUCUAGUAGCUUAUUUGCCUUACAAGUUGAGGCAUAUGAUAGGCUACCUAGUGCUGACUCGUGACUCGUGAGUUAUUGUGAAUGGAGACGUGCCUCUACACUGUGUCAUUGCCAGCCCAAAGUCACAAGCACACUAGGUGAAUUAGUGAUUCAUGCUAAACGUAGUUGAUUAUAAGCAUUGUGCGUCUAUGCAUGUGCACUCUUUUCACCCAUGAAAAUCCAAACUUCCCAGACAGUCCCUUAGGAGUCUUAUUUUAGCUUCUGAAAGUUUAGCUGCAUUACGCAUAUCGUUAUCAUUUGUUUGGCACUAGAUAACCUACAGUUCAGCAUCUUGUGCCCUUUUGCACUUCACAUUUUGCAGUUGUAUAGCUUAAUCUCAGUGUAGGUUAAAAGUAUAUAUAUGUACAUGAACUUGCUUGAAAACUCCAAUGCUGUGUAAUUGUAUUAUUCGACCUCCGCGCUUGCCGAAGAAAACAUCUACACGCGGCAUCUCAUUGUCUGGUGUGCACGUGAUAGUGAAGAUAAUGGCUGGACUAACCUGAUUGCUAUUUUUCACAUGUGCAAAUCAGACCUCAAAGCUCUCUCUCUCUCUCUCUCUCUCUCUCUCUCUCUAUAUAUAUAUAUAUAUAUAUAUAUAUAUAUCUUCUUCAAGGAAAGUUCAAACUUGCAAGCCCUUUGCAAGCAUCGGGCAGAGCAUGAUUUGGCUAUGUCCCAGAAGAAGCCUAGAUAGGAAUAAGCAAAAUAAAGAACCUGCAUCCAGAAAACAACUUGCUCCAGGAAUGCAAAACGUUUGUCAUAUAUGUUCGUCAGUUCAGAAGUGCUCCUCAACGUUUCCAUGUGACAGUCCACGUUUCUUGUUUCACUGCUUUUGUUUGUGAACCUAUUGGCAGCGCUUUGCAUGUCUGUUCGACAAAGUUGUUUACUACCUGCAUCUGUUGUUCUGGGAACACGCCUCCGAUGUUUUCCUCGUCUGUUGCAGAAAACUGAGGGAAGUGCAGGGCGGCUAGGCGACGAGGGGUGGAGAAAGCAGAGGCCGUCACGUCACGUCGUCAGCCAGCCAGCCCUAGCGUAACACACCGGUGUCCUGUCUCUCCGACUCUCCGUCCCAUGGCCACUCUGCAUCUGUACCAGGAACCUGUAUAUCAUGGACGAGUCCCCGCUGUUUUGCUUCAUGACAUGUGUGUUGGUAAACUGAAGACUUCAAUGUUUUUGGCGUGCAUGGGCCGCCGUGUUCUUCUUCUGCUUGUGUCGUACUGGCCUUCCUGCUUGGCUCGCUACCCCGCCAGUUCAUUUGCCGAUGACUCGGUGGCUGGCAAACGAGUGGCACCGCGGUCAGCCACAAGGGCAACACACGUACAUGCAUUGGUUGGUAGCUGGCAGCGGGUAAAAAUAAAAAAAAAAUUAUGGUGUUCGGUUUGAUGGAUGAGUUCUCCAUGACUGUUAAACAUUGAAUUUGGUCUGUGAAGCGG
rnacentral:lncRNA from 1 species